UAGAGAGAAGUUGCAACGGAAUCGGAUCGACGGAGGUGUCGAGCACUCGAGCCUGUGCAGAAAGAGAGGAGGGGAGAUUCAAGAUUGGGUUCGUUCUUUUUCCAUCUCGUUCGUCUUUAUCGUUGAACUGGUCGAAUUCUAGGGUUUUAGCUUCUGUAAUGUCGAACGACGAUCGGACUUUUCGGCUGAGUUUCCCCGAUGAAGGGAUAGUCAGGCUCCGUGAGUUUCCACCACCAGACAUCUCUUUUGAAGUUGUCUCUCUUUCCAACGGGUUAUCGGGUAUGGGUAAAACCAAUGAAAUUAACUAAUGAGGGGCAAAUUUGACACACCCUAACCACCUAACACCUAGGUUUGGUGGUUAGUUUUGACCACCAAGCCAUCUUAGGUGGUUAGAAAUGAAACUCAUCCAUAUAUGAAUAAUACAAUUAGAGUUGAUAUAUAAGACACUAUGGUGAAAGAUGUAACAUGCUAUUGGUAGAGAUAAAGGUUAUGUGUUUGAUGUGUGCGUGAGUGACAAUAUAGAGUCUAAUGAAUGUCAUGUGACGGGUGGAGAUGCAUUCAGCAAAUGAUGACACAUUUUGUCAUAGCACACUAGAAAUUAACUGUGUAUAUAUGGUGUUAAAGCUCGAUGGGUUUGGCCCAACCCUAAAGUUUAAGUUUAUUAAGCUUAAGGAGUCGAGUUCGAAUUUGGACAUUCCAAACUCGAUUCGUUUCGUUAAGCUCGAUGUGUUCGGUAAGGAGUAUAAAAAAAUAUUAUAUUUAAAGACAAUGAGGAUGUAGCAUAGAUAGUAAAACGUUUGCUUAGCAUACAAGAGGUUUCGGGAUCGAUCUCCCAUGUCUUCAAAUUAUUUUUUUUAACAUACAUGUUAAGUUCGAGUCUGGGCUCGAGCCUGACAAUUCUUUAAACGAGCCGAGCCCGAACUUGGCUAAACCAGGCUCGACGAGGUUGAGCCCGAGCCUAGAUAACUCUUUAACGAGCCAAGUCUGGAUCUAUAAGCAAAAGCUCGACUCGGUCUGACACCCAUAUAUGUGUGUUUUGAUUUUAAAAAUAUAAAGGAUUAAAAAGGGUAAUGGAAAUGUAUUAAAUCUUUAAAACAAUAAACAUUAAUAUAUGAAAUCAACAAUUUUCAAGAAAGGUUUUACCUUUGUAAGGCUAGUAAAGGUUAUUCCAUACUAGCCGUUUAAUUUUUUGUCUAUCAAUGUGGACCUCUCAAUUUAAAUUGUUACCUACUUGCUAUGUAUUUUGUUUUUAGUAAUAUGUUAUAAACUACAAGUUUAAUGUAUUCUAUUUAUUUAUCAAUUUUUGACCCAUGUAGGUACUUUUUUCCACACUAUACUAAGACAAUGUAUUUUUUAUAUCAUCUAUUUUUUCUCUCCUUCUUAUUUUUUUCUCUCUUCUACUCUUUGCAAACCCAUCCUAAUCUUUUUAAUUACCAAAAUGUCUACUGAAAAUAUCGUCAUCCAAUUAGUUUAUAUGUUUUUCUGAAUUUUUUUUACGUUUUCAUUGGGAAUAUUUUUUUGUCAUUCGUCAUUCUGAAAAUAUUUUUUUUCUGAAUUUAAUAUCCUCUUCUUUUUUUUCUGAAUUUAAUAUCCUCUUCUUUCAACAAAUGUGAACUUCGAAUCAACCUACAUACUGACUGACGAAACAAGGUUCACCGACAAUCCAUACUUACGUCCACUCAUAAUGGAUAUAGGACAAUCUAUUUCAACAAUUACUUUCUACCACCAAAUUAUAUGGAUAUAGGACAACAUUCAUAAAGGGAAUAUUAGAGGUGUUAUCUACAACCUCCUUAAAGACAAUUAUAGCAACCUCCGUAGAGGGAAUAUUUACAUCCUCCGUACAAGUAAGAACAUUUGAAACCUCCUUAGAGGCAGUAGAGUGGCCAUAAUAGCGACCUCAGGGGAGGCCAGAACAGGAACAUCAGAGGAGGUCAAAACAGGAACAUCAGACAAGGCCAUCACAGGGAUCUCAGGGGAGGCCCAAAUCAAUUAGGACCUCAUGGGAGGCUAAAUCGGGGACCUCAGGAGAGCCCAAAUCAGCUUUAUCAACGGCUCACACAUAUCUCUAAAAUCGAACAGCUCACACACAUCAGUCUCAUAGAAAGUGGCUUCUAUAUGUGUAUAUGAAAUAGAAUAUAUUAUGGAAAUAUAUUUUUGGGUAAUUAACUUAUUAUAUAUUAAUUGGUUAUUAUAAAUAUAAAAAAAGUAUUACUGUAACUAUAAGUAAAAGUAACUAAUUUAGUAACCAACGAGAAGAUGUAACGUGAUGUUAUUGAUGAGAUAGAGUGUAAAAAGUAAAACUGAAAGAGACAAAUUAAAAUCAAGUGAAAGAAACAGCAACAUUCGUUACAGGUGUUGCAAGGAACGUCGGGUUGUUCUCACCGGCCAUGAUGACCAGAAUCUUCUGCUCCUCAAACCCAUUCGGACCACAAGUUUGAACGACGGUCUUGGCUUGUCCAGUACUCUCCAAAUCACCACCCUCCAACUGCCCCGAAAGCUUCCAGUAAGUGUAGGCGAGCACCAAUAGAGCGAUAGCGAUCAGACUCAACAUCGCCGCGAGUCCUCCGAACAAGUAAGGAAUGGGAGAAUGCCAGAAUGAGUGCAGCUCGUGAUCUGGCGCCGGUGCCGCAGAGAUUUUGUGGAGAACCAUCUUGUUGGGUCCAAAACCCAGAAACAACUACUACGGUAGCUGUGAACGAUCGAUGAGUCCAAUGUGGUGAAGUGACGACGGAUGGAUCGAUCACACAAUGUACAAAGUACCAGAGCUUUUGCUGUGUCUUUUCUUUCCUCGAUUCCUUCCAUGGCAGAUUAGCAGGCCUGCCACCGCACUACUUUUUAGAUUUUUUUACCUUAAUGUCGACAUCGUGACAAUAGAUUUUAUCUAACAGUGUUUCUUAUGUUAGUUGACUUGGUUCUGAUUUCUGCAUGUCUUUUUUUUUGUUAUACAUUUAUGGGCCGAUCCAAUGGCCAAUGCUAUAUUAAUAUAGGAAAAAUAUGUUAUUCAUAUUAAAGAUUUGGAAAUAGUGAAAUAAAUACCCACUACUAGUAGAAUAAUUAGGGUUAGAAUGAGACCGACUCCAAGUGUAGGGGCGGGCGGGGCAAGGAUUUUUCAAAAUAUUCUUUUUUUCGCCUCAUCAGCCAUCGCCGCAUGCCCCGAUCCUAUCGUAUUUUCGAUGCGGACAAAAUCGUCAAAAUCUUUUUGAUUUUGCCCUAUCUCGAUCGUUCAUAUUUUUUAGAGAAGGUCUUGGGGUAAGUUUGCAUCACGGUUUUGUCAUGUAUUAUACGGAACGAGGUCGUCAACCCUCAUUCUCCUCUUAACCACUGGAAUAAAAAAACUUUAUAAUCAGUUUUAACUAGAGUUAUACAUGGAUCAGUUAAAUAGAGUUAUUCAAUUAUAAUCAUUUUCAAGUGAGUCAUUGCAUGAGAAGCACUUCAAAGAACUUUCAGGUGUGUCCUCUAUUUUCGUCUACCACACUUCAAAGAGCUUUCGCUCUACAUCUCGAGUUCUCCAAAAGUGUUUUUGCUUUCAAAUUUCCAAAAGUUUUCAAGUGUUCUAGUUUUUUAAAACUUCAAAAGCUCUUCAACUUCUACUUCUUAUUGUAAUUAUUGAAUCACAUUCAUUUUCAUUGUUUAUUCACAUUGUGAUUACACAUAUUUAUAUUAUUAUUACAACUAUACUCCUUGUUACUAUUCUAGUUAAUUAGUUUGUUGCCAAACUACCUAUACUCCAAUACGCCCCCUCAGGUAAAGCGGGAGCUCUUCCGUGAGCCUGCAUGUAAGAGAGUGGAAUGCUGACUUUGGUAGAGGUUUGGUUAAGAGAUCUGAUGUUUGAUCUGAUGUCCUAAAAAACUUGACUUCUACCGUUUUUGCCCUUACUCGUUCUCUGACAAAAUUAUAUUGCAUGGCAAAAUGCUUUGAUUUCAUAUGGUGAAAUGGAUUCUUUGAAAUUGCAAUAGUUCUGAUGUUGUCGCACCACACCGUCAUUGGAGACGAGGUAAAAAUGCCCAAUUCGGAUAAAAGCAUCUUUAUCCAUUCGAACAACAUAACUGUAUCGGCCGCACUCUUAUAUUCUGCCUCCGUUGUUGACCUUGCAACUGAAGAUUGUUUUCUAGAGCUCCAUGAAAAUUCCAAGGUAGACUACAAAUUAACGCCCCCUGACUUCUACUGUCACUUCUGUCUCCACCCCAAUCCGCAUCGGAGUAAACACGUAACUCCAUUGAGUCUGAUUUUUCGAUAUGUAUCCCUUUUAGCAACGUUCUUGAAACGUAGCGUAGCAAUCUCUUCAACGUCCCCCAAUGUACUACAUAAAUUGAGCAAACUUAUUUACCGGAAAUGCCAGAUCCGGUCUGGUAAUAGUAAGAUACUGUAGAAUCACAUUCAUUUCCAUUGCUUAUUCACAUUGUAAUUACACAUAUUUUAUACUAUUAUUACAACUAUACUAUGAUUCUAGUUAGUUUGUUGCCAAACUACCUAUACUCUAAUACUUCUAAUCCUCUAGUUCAUCUUUACAAGUAAAAAAUUUUAUGUGCUUAAUAUUCCACUCCUCUAAUCAUCUCUUGUGUGUGUCCACUUUGGUAGAGAGGUGAUAAAACCCUGCUGGAGGAAGAGUCCAUGCUGAAGGAGAUCUAUCACCAACUGGAGCAGGAUGAUGCCGACGUUGCUGAAGAGGAGGUCGAGAUCGACGUUGGCCGGAGUGCAGCCGCUAACCGCCCUGUGAGAAGGAGAUUCCCGUCGACAAGGCUUAAGGGUUUUGAAUUGGGUUAGCGGCCGGGAAUGGGAAAUUGGGUUAAUUGCAAUUUCGUUAUUAUUGUUAUGAUAUGUUAUUUCCUUAGAACUAUUUAGUUAAUUAGUUCCAGCAAACGUGUACCCCUAUAAAAGGGUAACUCAAGUACUUUAUUAAUUGAUCAAUAUUAUUUCCAAGUUUCUAAAAACAAACUGGGUUGAAGCAACCCUAGUUUUAAAUACUGUUCUAUUGCUCCAGCCGUCAACCAUCACUCCCAAUCUUCAACCAGCCAAGUCCACUCCAUCAAGAGGUUUGUCUCAAUAUCACCAAAGUGUAAGAGAAGGUUUUUAAACUCAACCAUAAAGUUCUAUAUUUGGUUUUAUAGAGUUUUCUGGAAAACUCUUAGGUCGAAUCUACCAUGAAAUAUUUUUAGGUUUUUAAGAGUUUCUUAAUACUCUAAUAAGGUUCUAACCUACCUGCAAAGGUUGAGAGGUUUUUAAAAGUUUUUUUGAUAUUUUAAGAUGUGAGUCUACCCGUAAAAGACUGGUUCCUAAGCGAAGUUAGUUUUAAAGCUUAGAGAUAUUUUUAAAAGUUUUUUUGAUACUUUAAGGUGUGAGUCUACCCGUAAAAGACUGAUUCCUAAGCGAAGUUAAUUUUAAAGCUUAAAGAGGUUUUUAAGAGAUUCCUUGAUACUCUAAGGUUUUGUCAUAACCUUUAGGCUAGUGAAUUCCGAUAGUUGUCGGGAUUGGAUUAGCCCUUGUUUGGGUAAACCAGUAUAAAUUCUAUUGUGUUGUCCAUUGUUAAACUUAAUUUGAUCUAUUAUCAAAAAACAACUAAACAACACUUAAUUAAAAAGAAUUCCACUUCCAGUUAUCUGGUCAAGAAUAAAGGUUGACUACUUUCCACAGAUCCCUCAUUCAGUUAUCUGGUCAACUCUCUGAGGUUAAAUUUAUCAGUUUAUCUCUAUCCAGUCAUCUGGUCAAUCUUCAUUUAUCAAUUAAAUUUUCAAAUACCUGGUCAAGUUAUUUAACUCAGAAAUAUUACUGUUGUUCAAUCCUUUGUUUAUUUAAGUAUUUACAGGUAAUUUCGCAUUUAAACUGUAUAAAUCGAAAAGAGGUUAUUAUGCCCCCUUAUAGCCUCGGAUCACGAUCCAACACAAACGCCGUCAGACCAUCUCUGAAUUCUUGGCUAGAGGAAGGUACGUACUGUCAUUCGCCACAUGCCCCGUUGUCCUAUCGUAUUUUCUGGAUGGACAAAAUCGUCAAAAUCUUUUUGAUUUUGCCCUAUCUCGAUCGUUCAUAUUUUUUAGAGAAGGUCUUGGGGUAAGUUUGCAUCACGGUUUUGUCAUGUAUUAUACGGAACGAGGUCGUCAACCCUCAUUCUCCUCUUAACCACUGGAAUAAAAAAACUUUAUAAUCAGUUUUAACUAGAGUUAUACAUGGAUCAGUUAAAUAGAGUUAUUCAAUUAUAAUCAUUUUCAGGUGAGUCAUUGCAUGAUGAGCACUUAAAGAACUUUCAGGUGAAACCUUCAUUUUCGUUCACCACACUUCAAGCACUUCAAAGAACUUUCACUCCACAUCUUGAGUUUUCCAAAAGUGUUCUUGCUUUCAAAUUUUCAAAAGUUUUCAAAUGUUCUACCUUUCCAAAACUUCAAAAGCUCUCCAACUUCUACUUCUUAUUGUAAUUAUUGAAUUACAUUCAUUUUCAUUGCUUAUUCACAUUGUGAUUACACAUAUUUAUACUAUUAUUACAACUAUACUCCUUGUUACUAUUCUAGUUAAUUAGUUUGUUGCCAAACUACCUAUACUCCAAUACGCCCCCUCAGGUAAAGCGGGAGCUCUUCCGUGAGCCUGCAUGUAAGAGAGUGGAAUGCUGACUUUGGUAGAGGUUUGGUUAAGAGAUCUGAUGUUUGAUCUGAUGUCCUAAAAAACUUGACUUCUACCGUUUUUAUCCUUACUCGUUCUCUAACAAAAUUAUAUUGCAUGGAAAAAUGCUUUGAUUUCAUAUGGUGAGCUGCAUUCUUUGAAAUUGCAAUAGCUCAGGAUCGAGCACGCUAGAAGAGCUGAGAGUCCAGAUACCUCUUCCCCUGAAAAUCUACACGGACAACCCAAUUGCGCAUAUCAAACUCAAACAAGUCGCUCUCGACCUCCAUUGAAUUCGUGAACGAACUGAGAAAGGUGAGCUUCUUGUCGAGCACAUACUGGGUGCAGAUCAGUGGGCAGAUAUACUGAUCAAAGCACUGGCGCCAUCAACAUUUCUUCGUCACCUCGUUGGUGUAACCGUGACGACUUGAGUGGGGGGAAUGUUAGACCAGUUAACACCAAAUAGUUGAUUGGUCGUUAUUCGAUUGGUUAAUAAUUAGUUGCAAAUACUGGUUAAUAAUUAGUUACAAAAACUUGUAUAAAUAAUUUGUAAUACUGAUUAAUCAAUAAGUUUUACAAUUCAAUCAAAUAGUCUUCUUCCGGCUUUUCCUUGUCGCCGGAGUUACUCUGUUUCCGUCAGAAUCUCUAUGACAGAGAGCGUCUUUCAACAGAUAUAUUUCAGACUUUUACUUCACUGAUUCAUUGUGAUCCGUGAUGAUCAUCUUUAUCUAGAUUACAAUUUCUUGAGUUAUGCCCUGGUUGUCUACAUGUACCAUAACAUUUGAUCUUCGAUCGGGAUUAUAAUUUCUCUAUAAGAUUUGAAUCUUGAAUCAUCUUUUCCAGAUUGUCCGGUGUUUUUGCUGCUACCUUUUGUUUUGCAAUUUUUGGAUUUUCAAUUAUAGUGACCCAAUUUGACCAUGAUAUGGAACCAUUUUUCAAUUUGUUAAUUAGAACUCCAAAUUUCGUCUCCAAUUAGAACCGUGUUAUUGGUUUUUAUUUCUUCAUUCCAUUUCAAGAAUUUUAUUUCUCCAAAAUUAAUUAAUUUAUAAUACGUGUAUUUAUACCCUUAAUUACAGUUUGUAUUACUAAUUAAUCUAAACAAAUUGUAACAACUAAUUAAUUAUUGUUGAAUCUCUUGUACUGGACUAAUUCAACUGGGCCCGAAUUACUUGAUGGACUAUUAGCCUAUUUACGUUAUGAUAUAUUUAAGGGGAAGGGAAGUGUAAUUAUGGCUUCAAUUUUACCCGUUUGAGCAUACCCAAACCUGUACCCGGUAGGGUAAGGGUACGGGGAGGAUUUUCUUACGUAGGAAUUUUAAAUUUUUACCCGAUUAAAAUUUAGAAAUAAACCCCUUAUAUAUAUUAUAAUAGUCAAAUCCCAAAUCAAACAAGUGAAACUAAAACCAUUAAACCCUAGAGGAGUGACGAUUCUUCUUCCAGAGUCCCACCAGGUGCUUUAUCUGUUCUCUGUUAUGAUAUGAUUGUGUAGUGAACCUUAGUCGUCUUCCAUCUCCUUGGUAAUGGUAUUCGUUUUUUUUUCUUUGUAUUUGUUUUUUUUUAUGGUAUUCGUUUUUUUUCUUCCGUUUGCAUUUGUUUUCUUUCUUUCAUUCGUUUUUUUCUUCUCCCGAUUGUUUUUUUAAAUAAACAGUUUAUAGUUCUAGUUUUAUUACUUUCCAAUGUAAAUUGAACUACUAAAUUAUUUUCCAGGAAGAAACUGUAAUGGAUUUUCCUAAUCCUACUGAAAAUGGAUUUCAAGUCAAGUUUGAGAAAAAAGAAGAAACGCUAGCUAUUGGUAUUGAUCUUGGUACAACAUACUCAUGCGUGGCUUUGUACAGACAUGGUGCUUAUGGCAAUGUUGAGAUUAUACAAAAUGAACAAGGCAACCGGAUCACACCUUCCUGCGUUGCUUUUACCUCCACCGAACGUCUCGUCGGUGAAGGUGCCUUCAAUCAGAUCAUCCGGAAUCCCCUAAACACCAUCUUUGGUAAGUCAUUCCGAUCGAUCCUUAUAUAUACUUUUCAUCUUUUGUUUUUAUCUCAGUACUCGAACGAUCUUGAUUUAUUCAGAUGCCAAGCGUUUGAUCGGGAGAAGGUUUUCUGACACAGACGUUCAAAACGACAUGAAGCAUUGGCCUUUCCAGGUCGUGUCCGGAAUGUAUGACAAACCUAUUAUCGUGGUUGAACACAUGGGGAAAAAGAAACAGUUUUUAGCUGAAGAGAUAUCUUCGAUGGUGAUCUCCAAGAUGAAGGAGACGGCGGAAAUCUAUAUCGGUCGGUCUGUCGAAAAAGUGGUAGUGACGGUUCCAGCAUACUUCAAUGACGCCCAACGUCGCACCACCAAAGACGCCGGCACCAUAGCAGGACUUACCGUAAUGCGCAUCAUCAACGAACCUACUGCUGCCGCCAUAGCCUACGGUCUUCUUCUGAAGGAACGUGAAGUUGUCGGCAAGAAGACGGUCUUCGUGUUUGACUUUGGCGGAGGAACCUUCGACGUCUCUCUAUUGAAAAUAGACAGUGGAACUGUGGAGGUCAAGGCUACGGGUGGCGAUACGCAUCUCGGAGGCGAGGACAUCAACAAUAUCCUCGUCAACCAUUUCGUGAAAGAAUUCAAGAGGAAAUACGGCAAGGAUCUGGACAAAGAUUCCCGGGGUUUUAGGAGGAUGAGAUCCGCAUGCGAGAAAGCGAAAAGAAAUCUUUCUUUCUCCACCCUUGCAGUGAUCGAUAUCGAUUCGGUGCAAGACGGUGUGGAUUUCGAAGGAAAAUUAUCACGUGCUCUGUUUGAGGAUCUUUGUAUGCAUCUGUUCGAGAAAUGCAUCGACCAUGUUUCGCGUUGUCUGAUAGAUGCGAAGAUAAAAAAGAACAAGGUGGAUGAGGUGGUUCUCGUAGGUGGUUCUACCAGGAUUCCGAAGGUGCAGCAGUUGCUGAGAGAGUUUUUCGAUGGGAAGGAGCUCUGUUGCUCGCUCCAUCCUGAUGAGGCUGUGGCUUGUGGUGCUGCGAUUCAAGCUGCUAUGUUGUGUGGAAGCAGCAGUGAUGAGUGCCCAAUUCUUAAAGAUUUUGUAGUUAAAGACGUCACUCCUCUCUCCCUUGGAAUAAGUUAUAACAAGGGUGUCAUGUCUGUUAUUGUCCCAAGGCAUACUCCAAUCCCAACCAUGAAGAUACAGUCUUACACAAUUGCAUCUGAUUACCAAACUAGUGUUUCUGUUCCCGUGUAUGAAGGAGAACGGAGCAUGGUUUGCGAUAACAAUUUCCUUGGUAAUUUUAUACUUGAUGGUAUAACUCCAGCUUUUAUCCAUGUGACGUUUAACAUAAAUGAGGAUGGUCUCUUGAACGUGACUGCUAUGGACGAAUCUUGUGGGUUUCAAGCUGGAAUGACUUUUACUAACGACAGUAAUAGUAGCCAGGAAGAGAUUGAUAAGAUGGUGGGCGAUGCUGUGAUUUACAGAAACCAAGAUAUGGAAAAGAAGAAGAAGGCGGACGCCAAGUCUGGAUUGGCAACCUACGCUUACAAGAUUAGAAACACAAUCAGGAAUGUGGAUAUUGGAUGUAAACUGAUGUCAAGUGAGAGGAAAGCGGUGGAAGUUGCUGUUUUGGACGUUCUAAAAUGGUCCGAUGUGACUUCUUCAGUAACAACAGAAGCUCAUAUAUUUGAUAUGGAAAAGACGAAGCUUGAAAACAUCUGGAAUCCAAUCAAAGCAAAGCUCGGCUUGUGAACUCUCUAAUUGAAAAAUUGAAAUAGAAUUAGAUUUAUUAACUCUGUUAUAUGAAGGACAAAUAUGAACAACUAUGAAUUUAUUUAUCUUACCUUAUAUUUUCAUCAUUUUUUAGGGUUUCCGUUUACUCCAUUACGUAAUGGGGAAAAACAAUAUAUUUGAGACUUCAUAAGUUUCUACUAAAAUAAUUUUUUCUAUUAAAACAAAUUAGUUCAAUUGGAAAUAUAGUUAAAAUAAUGAUUGAUGAUUAAACAAUAUGAAACUUUGUCAAAUAUUGUGAAAAAUAAUUAAAUUCAAUGAAUAAAAAAUAUCAAAACGUAAUAAGUAUUUAAUUUUAAUGUUAAUCUUUAGAAUAAUUAUUAUUUUUUAAGUAACAGUAGUGUUUAGAUUAUUAUCAGUCUAAUAUUUUAUUCUUUUUAAAGUAAUAUAUUCCUAAAAUGAAAUACUAAUAGAAUUUAUCAUCAUUUGCAUACCUAAUUUUUUUUUUAUUGAAACUAAAAAACAAAAUUUAAGUACAAUUUACUAAUCAAAGAAAAUGUAGACAUUGCAUUGAACAUUUACUUUUUUAGACAUUUCAUUAAUAGGGUUUACUUCAUUAAUUAAUCUACUGUGUGAUGGUGUGACCUCUCUAAUAUUACUCUCGACCCCCUCCCUUGUUGCAUCUGGAGAGAUAUUUAAACCCUAUUUCCUUGGACCUACUGGACCUCACAGGCCUCCCCGGUAACAACACUGUGUAAGAUUUUUAAUUAUUAGUUUUAUUUCAAAUUAAUGUACGUAUAUUAUGAAGGUAAGAAGUGGUUAAAGCAAAUCUUAGUGUGAAGUCAUGGUUUCAUUUUUACAGUGUAAUAGUCGAUUCUUAUAAGGUUUCAUAUUAUCUAUUUUCUGAGUUCAUCAUUUUUUUUCCUGGAAGUGCACCGCAUAAUAUGGUUUCUAGAAUUACCAUUGUCACAGUAUGAAGAAGAAGAAAUCGAAGUCAUAAUAAUUUGUGAUCAAACACGGAAUGUCUUACCAGGGCUCGCGGUGGUGUGAGGUGAUGCCGGAGGCUCUGGAGUCCACGACGCGCGCUCUACGUCAAGUCUUCUGGGAGAAAUCGGCGAUUAGAUGUGUAUAAUCGACGAUUUGCUCCGUGUUUUCUGCUUUAGAAUGGAUAGAACUGAUGCUUUGGAUUGUGAUUAUCUCAGCGGUAAUCGCGUUCGGCAUUAAUGGCGUGUUAUUAAGGACGCGAGCUGGCGUCAAGUAACGGUCGAGAAAUCGACGAUUGGGUGAUGAAUCGGCGAUUUGACGAAGACCAUUGUUCCACACUCGUGGGAGCCUUUCAGGGGUCCAACGUAUAGCGAACGGAACCCGAGUUUCAGUUGAGGGGCAUUGAUGGGAGUGAUUAACGUAGCGGUCAUGUAUCAACAACAACUUGCAUUUUCAUUCAUUACCAAAAAGAUACUCUUGAAUGGAAUAUCGAAAUAGUCACUAAUAUUUUCCGACCAUCGUCGAAAAUGCAAUAGUUCGCAAAAAAAACAAGAAAAACCGCAAACCAGAUAAAACACAAACUAAUAAGAUAAACAACAAAACAUAGUCGAAAAGAUUCUGAACAAGCCAAAACACCACGCUUUCCCCCUAGGGGUGCGAAUGAGACGGGUCGCGGGCGGGCUACCCCACCCUGGUAUCCGGUCUGUUAUGAAUAAACGGGGCGGGUCAGGUACCCUACUUCCCUGCCCCGGGGGCGGAUCCGGGGUGACCCUCCUGGAAUUAUAAAAUUUAAAAAAAAUAUAAGUUAAAAAAAUAUAAAUUUAAAUACAAAAAAAUUAAAAAGUAAACCUAAAAUUUCAAUUGGGUAAAUUUUUUACCCUAAUUUUAAAUGGGUAAACAAAUGGGAACAGGGCAGGACCGAGGUGACUCGUCCCAUUCUCACCCUUACUCCCCCCCACCUCGAGUUCCCCCCGUCGUCUAGUCGAUGUUGAGGUCGUCUAUGAACUCGAAGUUCUGAACUUCACCCCCCCUCUCGGACGGCGUCGCUCGCGUACACAGAAGGGUCAGGUUCAGGUAUCGGAAACAAGUACGAGGUCGCUGUGAAUAUGAACGCCAUGAAUAGGUAGCCGCACUGGAGACACAUUACCACGUCUGACGGCGGAGCCGGAGGGAGUGGAUGAUCCGGACAUGCAUGAGCGAGAACUGGUGCUUUAGGGGCGUAUGCAGGCAUCAUCACUGGUGGAUAUGGGCGAGGCCCCUAUCUGUUGAUCGGAACAGGGUUCAGAUGGCGUGGAGCAAACAACAUCGAUGGAAACUCAAGAAUAGACUGCGACGUACCAGGGUUCAGACAACAUCGACUCGUCGGAGGAGGCUCCCGUAGCAAGCUUCAUCAAAAGGGACUGGAAACCAAGGGGAGCUUUUCGAAUCACAAAGGUCAACCUUCAAUCGUUCAAAGUAGGAUUCUAUAAUGAAGCAGACUUUGAGCGGACAAGGACCAUGAAAUGGGAACAUAUGGGCGGUGAUUUGAUCCUCGUGAGGCAAUGGCAAGCAGAGGAAAGCACAACUGAGGAUGCCUUGGAUACGGUGCCGCAGAGAGCAUCAAUGCACAAUAUCCUGGGUGCAAUGUGGGGCGAGGAGGCGAUAGGGAGAAUUGCGAGCAAGGGAGCCCGAUUGAAGCAUGGGCAUCGGAGCCAAUGCACCUGAACCUCCCCCCGCCGCUCGAGGUAUGCGUGAUAGUAGGGAGGAAUUUCAACUAUCCCCCAAGCGUUAGAAUAAGGAUCGAAGGCAACGAAGGUGAACUAAACAAGGACACAAUCGUAAGUGUCGAGUAUGCGCAAAGAUUCCCCUACUGCUGCCAUUGCAAAGGAUUCGACCAUUGGCAUCAGCAGUGCCGGAGGAAGGACAACGUGCGGCUGGGCAAAUGGAACCAAAGAAUUAUGGAACCAAUUCAGGCAAAGCACCAAGCAAGGCACGGCUCAGGCGAGCAUACUCUCGCCAAAUUUCAAAAAGUAACAAACGUACCAGAUCACAUCGGCGUCGACGUACUAGGAGGGUGUACAGGCGCGUGCAGACGGGCCAUGCUAGAGAAAGGUACAACGAAUCGCAAAGUAACCAAGUAAGGAUAGCAGACACCCCCCCAAACCCAAAAGCGAACGAAUCGAAUGAAACAACGGGUAAUCCCCCACUGCUUGAAGGUAAUAAAGUACUUAAUCAGGCGGACGCCCAUCCAACAAGGAACCUAACUACAACAAUUAGGCAAGAACAGAGUAGUGUAGCAAAGUCACCCGAAGUAGAGCAGAUACCGGAGAAGAGCAUAGCAGAGCAAAGUCACCCGAAGUAGUGCAAAACAUAGAACAGAUAGAAGGCCAUAGCCUCUCUGCUGAGGAUCGAUCGCACGAGUAAAAUGCACAUUCUAUAUAACCUGCCAAACAUGGAUAGCCUACUGAGGCGUUCAUCCUCCUUGAUCUCCUACCUAAAACGCAUCCCAGAGAAGGUUGCGUCAGAGAAAGGACAAUUAUUCAGCUGAGGAAGAAAUCCAAUCGAGGUUGUGAUCAACGGAGGAGCAAAUCGCUAAUGUACCGAUUCAGCUUCACAACAGGUUUCAAGUACUACAAAGGGGGGCGUUGAGACAGGGAGGCCACAAAGGAACCAAAGGCGGGUACUGGCAAAGAAGGACACAAAGCAGGUGGUGUUGUGGAAAAGUAUAGAAAUUGAAGACAUUGGGUUUAACAGGAAGAGGUAUAAACGGAAAUGCAGAACGGCCAACGAACGGCAAGCAUUGCACUAAUGGGAUGCCCUCCUAAUGCUCAUCCAUAACAAGGAUGAAGGAAAUUAGCCAAGGCUAAAUGACAGGCGACAAAAGAGGAAGAUAGGUUUAAUUAACUUAAUUGCUUUUAUUUUCUAUUAAUUGUGUUUAUUUUCUAAAUAUCUACUAUUUAUUUAAAUGCGAAAUUGAUGUUCAACAAAAAAAAAUGGAUAGCCCUGAGUUGCAUGUCAAUCUUCUAUAUCUAAAUAUUAAUGAAGAGACGAUGAUAGAAGAAUGUUGUGAAUGUUUAUUAAGGUUUAAACGCGUAUUUACAAGAUUAAUAUACUUAAGUAAGUAAUCAUCGAGGUAUUUGAUGAAAUGCUUACAUUGAACCGCCGUGCAUGGUCAGCGAAGAUGAUGCCUGCUAUAUUGAACAGAAGAAACUCUCAAGUAAACAAAGACGAAAUCAGAAAGAAAGGAAAAGAGAUAGGAUCUAUGUAUCUAUGUAUCUAUCUAUAAGUCGACCUGACCUGAGCGUCUCCUUGGUCGCACGACGGAUCUUACAGCGUAUGGUCGGGAGGCCGAGUUUGUGGUGUGCCUCGUACCGAUGGCAUCCGGAGAAACCAUAAUAAACUCCCUCAACUUGCAGCACAUCGAUCUGUUGCAAUUAUUAAUAAUUCAAAGUUAAUAAUUCCGAUCGGAAUCGGAGUGAGUGCAGGGCCGACCUAGUUUUCAAAGCUCAGAAAGACAUAACUGGUUGUUGGAGUCCGAUUUCACGGAUGCUUUCCAUGAGUUCCUUCACUUUGGCGGGAUCAUUGGUUCGAGUCCGCAUCAGAGGACGGCGUAUCAUACCGAGUGGGAUUUCUUUGAUCAUCACACCUGAUUUAGGGUUUAGGAAAGGGACGCCUGAACGAAUUUGGGGGAGAGUGGAAAACAAAGUGAGAAUCUCUAAUUAAUUAUUUUAUUUUAUUUUAAUUCUUCUGUGGAAGGAAGAUCGAUGAUAAUACAUACCAUUGGUGGAAGCUACGAUCGGUGUUGGUCGUCUCUGGUUCCAAGAGCCGUUGAUGACGGGAGGAAGACGUAGCUGAAGAUUGGUCAUUUUCCUGCCUGAAUUUGUCAGUCUGAAACCGGAAGAUAUAUAUAUAUAUAUAUAUUUUUUUUUUUAUGAGAUAAAAUAUCAAAUCGUGAUGUAAUUUUUUUAAAUCGUUGAUAUGAGUUCCAAGCAACUAUUUAGAUAAGUGUUUUUUUGACUCAUUUAAGUCUUAGUUCAGCUGAAAAUUAUUGGAUUUGGGCCACAAAAUUAUGCAAAGUGAUUUAAUAACAGUUUUAAAUUUAAAUUUCCACUUGGAAUCGUCAGUCGCGGAGGUGGAGGUCGCCGCCUGAAAUCGUCGGUCGUCUGGAAAAAAGAAGGAAGAGAAAAUAGGCGACUAAAAAUAGGAGUUUUUUUUAGGAAAUAGAGUUUUAUAACCCUAACCCUCAUUCAUAAUUCUUUAUUGGGUUUAUAUUUGAUUUUAUACAUCCAUUUUGAUCAUAUAACUUUUCUAUCUUUUGGAAAAUCUCUUAGGACGGACCACUGUAUGGUUUUAAUGUAAUGCAUCUAUUUCUUUUCUCAUAGCUUUUAUUCAAUUUGGUUUGGUUCAUUGUUUUUACUUAUUUGUUUUAAUAAGUAUUUAUUUAUGUUUUUUGUUUAUCCUAUGAUAGGAAACUUGAUUGCUCAUGGGGUAUUUUAAAUCAUUAUUAUUUUCAAGUUUUUUUAUGUUACCAUCCCCUGUGUAUAAUUUGUGUUAUGCUUUUAGUGCCUUUUCAUAGGUUUUUAAUUAAUAUGAAACUUUACUUGUUAUUAUGAAAUUUGUGGUUGAUAUUCACUUUAUCCUGAAUCACAAAAGGUUAUUAUUAUUUUUUUAAACAGAUUCAAGUUCAGCUGAUCGACACAAUUGAUCUUAAUCCUCAUAAUCCCGAACGAUUGGUUAAGAUCGAGUGAGUUAUAUUUUACAGUAUAAAAACUGUUAUUUAAAUUUUUUGUACAACAUAGAAUCAAAAAAUAGAAUUUAAUGUUACAAAUCCUCUUAUUUAUAUUAUUCAUCUUUGUUUAUUCUAUUAUUUCGCAGUUUAUUAGUUAGUUCAAUCUCGAUGUUGUUUUUCUUCUGAUUAUUUAUUUAUCCACAUUCAACGAUGUUCGUGACAUCCUUCCAUCUUUUUUUUAUUUAAAAAUUAAGAAAUUUGGUUUUGAACAAUUUCUGGAAUCAGUAGAUUUAACUUUUAAUUCUUAUCAUUUAGAUGAUCUCGUAUCGGUAAUUAUAAAUUCCUCAUCAAAGAUAAGAUAUUGAGGGUUACCCUAAAGGAUAUAGGUUAUAUCUUUGGCCUUCCCUUUUCCGAUGUCAAAAUUCAGAUUGCUAAGAAUGAUGCUAUCAAUUAUUCUACUUCUUUUUGGCACAAGUACUUUAGCGUCAAACAUGUUGUUAGGUAAUGUUGGUGUGUGGCAUCGCCGGAGUAAGCUCGCCGUCCAACCUAGUGCAAGUGUGACUCUCAGAAUUAUCAACCCCCCAUAUUGGACCAGGAAAGGUAUUUAUAGUCUUCCGUCCCAGUCCUUGGGCCUCGUGGGCUCGCGCGCCGGGCCCGUCCGUUCGCCCGGGCCGCCGCCGAGGCCGGUUUGGUCCAUGGGCCGCGGUCCAUGGUACCAACAGGUAAAUUGAUUAUUAUUCUAAAUUUCAUCAUUCUUGUUCCUUAAACUUGUAUUAACAUUUUCAAUUUCAAUGUCUAUGUGAAAGAUGCAACCUCCGGCGAGGAGGUUCCGAUGAAGAAGUGGAGACUGGAAUUAAAACACCCUAAGUAGGGUUUAGUUGCAAUCUAAGGAUCGUGGGAAGUGAUUGGAAGAGGAAGAGAAGAGAUGAAGAGUCACGGAAUGUAAGAAGUGAGGCAAUGAGGAGCGUCUAGGGUUUUGGACGCCCCUUUUAUAUUAUUACUAAUUGGGUUGGGCCAAUUUGGGUCUUUACGUUUAAUGUUAAAUAUUACAAAUCAUAAACUAAAAUACAAGUUAACCAAAACCAAUCUAUAAUGAUACACUUGGUUGUGACCUCAGUUGGAUGAUUUGCUCUCGAUCAAACCUCUUUCACCUGCAUAGAUUAAUUUUAGUUUUAACAUGGAAGAAGAAGUAUUUGUAUUGUGUGAAAAUACGUAGUAAUCAUUCUGAGUUAUAGUUGGUAUAUAUAUAUACCAAGUUUAACAACUUACUUAACUAACACCUAACAACUUUCGUAAACCUUUAACAAUCUAAAGUGAUAUCCUAUACAGUGACGUCAUGAUGACGUCAUCAAUAGUUGGUUACGCAACUGCUUUUUUUUUAAACAAAACCAACUGAUAAUAUAGAUUCCGAAACAAAGAAAAAGGGUGUGAUCACAUGCGAUCCACCCCACACCCUCCGCAUUGUUCCAACCCCGGAUCUUACGAUCGUUUGGGCCUUCACAAUCUUUGGGGAACUGACUCGAUGUUUCCUAGAACGAUCUAUGCCUCAUCGUUCUUACGAAGUGGUCUUAAGUCAAUGGGGAGUGUAAAAACCCUGGUGUGCCCAAGGCAUCUUUUCCUUUGCCAAGGGAAAACUCUGCCAUUACCUUUAGGUCCACUACACAUAAGUGAUUCCACAUAUCGUUUCUACUUUAAUAAUAGAGUCCACCCCCUGGGGGAUAGAGCUCUAUAUGGAUAUGACUUUUUUGGUUAUUCCAUUUACCAAUUUGUCCCCUCCUAUAGUAUUUGGCAAGACAGGGUUCUAUUUUUAGUUGAACCCCAUCCCACCAUAUACCUCAGUUUUAGUUUCCCUUAAUACAAGUUCCUAUUAAAAUACGAUUACAGACUCAAUAUCAAAUAUAAAGAAUUAAACAAGUUUCACGUUUUCGCCAACUGGGCACCUCCGGUCCAUAUAUAUAUCCAUCCAUCUCUGUUCCCUUCUCGUAACUUUUGCUUUAUACUUGUCCACCUUGAAUGACGCUGUUACAUCCUGUACUGUCCUCCUCCCUAUCUCCUGUGGGCUCGUGCGUCUGUCCUCAUGCACUCUCCUGUUCCUUUCGGUCCAGAUUCCCCAUACUAUCGCUGCCGUGUACGUUCACGUCAGGCCCCAGCAUGGUGAGUUCUUUGUUCUUGCAUUUGCCUGUGCCAUGACCUGUUCUAAAGAUAGACCUGCACACGUAAUCAAACUGGGUUUUGCAUUUAAAAUAUAUGUCCAUAGAUCCUUGGAGAACUUGCAUUUGAAGAAGACAUGGUCUUGUGAUUCCCAUGUUCCCUCACAUAAUAUGCAGUCUGUGUUCCCCCCUCCCAUUCUACCCGUCCAGUCAGCUCUCAUGGAUAUUUUGGACCACCUGGCCCUCCAGAGUGUUAUGCUAAAUUUCCUUACACUAGUCGUCCAAACCCCCUCCCCGUAGUGGUCUAUUGGCUCAGCAUUCCUGACGGAAUCCCAAGCGUUCUUGAAAGUCAGGGAAGUUCCUUUUCCUACUCAUGUGUAAUUAUAAUCAGCCUCACACUUUAGGUUCCCCUCUAUCACAUCCUUCUUAUCAAUGAUUUCAGCCCAUAGGGCCGAAUCCGAGUUUGGGUGCUUCUCUAUAUCUCUGAGAGCGCGUCCACCCACGUAUCUCCCACUCAUCCAUGAUGCCCAGAUCGAGUCAUCUGCCGACCAUAUUCUACCCAACCUUAUCAUCCUCGCCGCUUCAGCGGACUCUCUGAAGUACCUCAUUCCCAUUCCACCCUCCUUUUUGGGAAGGGUCAUCUGGUUUCAUCGGACAUCUUGCUUCCCACUCCACAUAUAUCUGUAAGAGAUGGAUCUCAAUUCUUCAAGGGUAUCCGCCGGGAGUCUGCUCGACAUAUUUCAGAAAUUGAAUAUGCCCAUUAUACCCCAGUGAUACAGCUGAACCCUGCCCGCAUGAGACAACAACCUUGUUUUCCACCACUCUACCAUCUUAUUGACUCUUUCAAUUAGGGGGCGCAGUCCUUUGGGUAGAGGAUCCUAGGUGAUAGAGGCAGUCCAAGGUACGUUGUUGGGAAGGUCCCUUCCUUGAACCUUAGGCGUGCCAGUAAUUGGUCCUUAUUCUUUGUGGAAUGUGAAAAGAACACCUCACUCUUUGGGUCACUUACGCUCAGACCUGUUCUAGAUUCGAAGACUUUAAAUACUCCAUCGAUGGAUUUGAAGGAAUCCUCCUUGGCUUUGCAGAAAAUCAAAAGAUCGUCCGCAUAGAUCAAGUGUGAUAUUCCCAUCACGUUGUGCUUCUUAAAGGUACUUAUUUGCCUCCUCUCCACUUUCUCAUUUAUGAGAAUGGUCAGGUUUUGCAUUAAGAGAGCGAAUAUGUACGGGGAGAGGGGGUCUCCUUGUCUAAUUCCUCUCUUUGGUAGUAUUUGUGGUGUCGGCGACCCAUUCACCAGGAAAGAUAACGAUGAUGUGGUUAUACACAUCAUUAUGAUCUUGGUGAUCAUUUCACUGAACCCCAUAUCUAUUAGAGUGUCCUCUAUCGCCUGCCAGCUGCAUGUGUUAAAGGCCUUCGCAAGAUCCACCUUUAUGGCUGCAUUUGCUCCCCCACUUGCCCUACCGAAUCCCAUUACCAUUUCCGUCGCCAAUAGAUAAUUGUCCCCAAUCAGCCUUCCUGGUAGGAAAGCGGUUUGAUUGCUGUCAAUCAAGAUAUCUGCAACUGAUACCACCCUGUUCGUUAGGACUUUUGAAAGGAUCUUGUACGUUGUGUUUACGCAAGAUAUGGGCCUAAACUGAUCCAACCUUGUGGGGCUCUUGGUUUUCGGGACCAAGGUAAUGAACGUAGCGUUUACUUGUCUCAGUAGGGGCUCUCCUAGAAAGAUAGAUUGUAUGGCUUUGACUAGGUCCUCGUCUAUAAUGUUCCAAAAGGCCUUAAAGAAGGCUCCGUUGAAACCGUCUGGACCAGGGCUUUUGUCUGAGUUUAGCGUCAUGACUACCUUCUUAAUCUCGUCAUACGCUGGUAUCUUCUCUAAUUCCCUAUUUUGUUCAGGUGUAACCUUUUUAACGAAGUUUCUGGUUUCGGUACUUAAGGCCUCCUCCCCUUCAGCAAAUAGUGUCUGGAAGUGGUCCAACGUUUUUGUCUCCAUCUCACUUCUAGAUACCACCACCCUUCCAUUCGGACCUAACAUUUUGUAGAGGGAAUUUAGGGUUUGUCUUUGUUUUGUCAUGGCUGCAAAGAAUUUCGUAUUCUUAUCCCCUAGUCGCAACCAAUUUGCCCUACUCCUCUGUCUCGCAUCCUCCUCCUGCACCUGUAGUAGGCCUUUUAGAUCCUUAAGGCAUCCAUCCAGCCUCACCUGGAUAUCCUCAUCAAAUGGUCUUACCUCCAACAGGUCCUCAUUCUUCUGGAUUUCUGCCUCUGCUUGGGCGAUUCUCCUCCUUGCUUGAUCCUCUGAUGUCUUCCAUCUCUUGAGUACCCUCUUCACAUUGUUCAGCCUCCUUGUGAAUAUGUACAUCGGGGUCCCUCAUACCUCGAUUUGUCAAGCAUCCCUGACUACCCCUUCCAACUCAUCCUUCCUUAGCCAUGAGUUUGUGAAUCUGAAAGGCCUCUUCCCCUCUUCAACUACCCUGAGGUCGAUGGUCAGGCUACGGUGGUCAGACGUGCCACCAGAGUGGCUGUCCAGGGUCACUGUGGGCCAAAGGUUCAGGAAUUCAAAGUUCCCAAAUCCUUUGUCACUUUUACUGCUAAUCCUGAACUCGCCCACCCUUUUGUUUGUCCAGGUCGUAGGGUUUCCUUGGAUAGGAAUCUCUCUCAAACCUGCUCCAUCUAUCGCCUGGUUGUAUCUGCCUAUGCAUGCCAAGGAGGCCCUAGCAUGUUCUCCUAUCCUGUCCUCCCUGUUUCUAACCUCGUUGAAGUCCCCCAGCAUGAUCCAUGGCCCUCUGAUGCUGUGGCUGAGUCUCACUAACUCCUCCCACGUCUCUUCCCUCUCGUUGCUCUCUGACGCCCCGUGCACAAAAGUUACAUGGACUGUAAAACCCCCUUUAUUCUUUGCUACACAAUGUAUGUAAUGCUCGGUCCAGAAUGGAGCUCUCAAUCUCCCAGUUCCUCACAUCCCAUACUAGCCAGAUAGAAUCCGGCUUUUGGAUUGUGUCAUCGGUCCUAUUCGACAUCACUGAAAAAUUUUGUCCGAAAAUCUUACUACAGUGUGCAAAGUUACGUUUCAUAAUCUUGGUCUCGUAUAGACCAAAGAUGUCCAACUUAUACUUCUUAACAAACCUCUUUACCUCAUCCUUCCUUAUGUCACUGUUUAGUCCGUAAACAUUCCAGCUUCCGAACAACAUUUUGAUACCUCUUUGCUAAAACCACUCUAUCACUCUACCGUUUAUGACGGCCCAUCCUUGGCCGCCUUCGCUCGAUUUGCACUUGGUCCAGAUCGGGUUGUUAAUGUGUUGACUUUUGGUCAACCAAAGGUGAUUUGUGUGCUGAUUGUUUUCCAUAGGGGACAAAAUCCCGAUCCAAUAACCCUUAAUCUUAUACCAAAAUUGUGCUUGACUUUUGGGCGAAAAUGGCAAAUUUUGACUUUUGGUCAAACUCUGAUAAUUUUGACUUUUGGUCAAACUCAGAUAAUUUUGACUUUUGGUCAAACUUAGACAAUUAAGAUCUUUGGUUAAACUCAGAGAAUUUUGAUUUUUGGACAUACUAGGGGGUUGCCCAUUUUCCAUUCUUGUCAGACCCUUAGUCGAGUUUGUUCCAUGACUUUUGGUCAAGAUUGGGGGAUUUUGACCUCCGGUCAAACUCAGGGCAUUAUUUUUACUUUUGGUGAUAGUUAUGCUUUGUCCAUUUUGGCUGUUGGGGGCCAUAGUGGACAAAGUCCUGAUCCGAUGUAUUUGUUUCUUAGACAGAAUUGGGGUUUGACUAUUGGUCAAAGUCCUUUGACUUUGACUUCUAGUCAAAUUCGACCAAUUUUGACUUUUGGUCAAAUUAUGGGCUUUGCUCGUUUGGCUGCAAGGGUUAAUUUGGCAGCUUUGGCAAGUCUGGAUGCAUUGCCCAUUAGUCCUAGAGGUCAAUAUCCAUCUCCAAGUACUCUUACUUUCUUUAGUUCGGACUAGUGUUUGAUUAAUUUGACCUUUGACACUUUGGCCGGUUUUUCUAUUGGCUGUCCCCUUAGGCCCACCAGCGUAUCCACUCUUACCCCUCCCCAUUCGGCUAAUGCUUGUCAUAUUAGGUGCAAUUGGUAUUGGUGUUGCCAAUUGGUUUAACCAUUUGGGGGUCCAAUUGGUUAAACCUUGACUAAGUCGUAAAGGGCCUCCUGAGGCCCUUUUCUUAGUCUCCUUGAUAUUUAAUUUCCCAACCCUUCUCCAUGCUACCCUAGGUUUGUUUGAUUUUUUACUCCCACCCACGUGUUGUCUAUUUAGGGGCUUUUUGUAGUUUUUCAUACUGAUUUGACAUAUUUCCACUUUAUAAUUUUUAUUCCUACUAUUUUUGUUUUUAUUUUCCUUAUUAUUAUUAUUAUUUAUUUUGUUUUUGUUGAUAUUUUUUGCUUUCCCUCUACCCCACAUGCAGGUUUUCCCCAUUUAAUUUCAGUGUGUAUUGUUUUAAUUUCUCCCUUCCACUUAAAACUCUAUUAUUUAUUUAACUAAUACUACUUAACCUAAUAACAGUACUUAACUUUACUGUAAACUUAUUUAUUAAGCUUAUUUAUUAUUUAAAUUAGAGUUUACCUCCCCCACUUGUCUCCCCCCUGGUGGUUAAGUCGGGCGACGUUUGCCGUUGCCGGAGUUCCUCCCGCCGGCGAUCGUCGACCUGGUCCGCUUCUCGUGGCGAUGUCCCCCAGAAUGCGUCUCCUUUGUCAUAUUCACUAUCGUAAUCUCCUUCCUGCUCAGAUUCUUCUUUGAAAUCCGAGUCCUCGUCCCAUCCUGUUGCUGUCGAAUAGUCGAGGAACCCAACUGGAUUCUCCGAUGUGGGAUUUUCCCCUGCCACUUCCGGUUCCAGUAGGUAGUCCUCUCUGGAUUUGUUUGAAAUCUUCUUUUCCAUGGUGGCCGCUGCAUUCCUACCUGCUUCCCGCCUUGCUCUCUGCUUCAGUUUAUUUUUUGACACCUUUCUCUCUCUCGAUGACGAUGAAUGGGUUGCCAACGUAUUUGAGUCCUUCUGUCCGCUCUUGCUCCCCCUUUUAGCUGCCUUGCUGGUUAGGUUGGGUGUUAGCUCCUCCCAUUGGCGUAUCGUUUCAUCCUCUCCCGUUCCCUCCAGCUGUUUAUAUUCACAUUGGUCACCUUUAUCGAUUUCCUCCUCCACUGUGGCCUUCUUUGGGGUCACCGGAGAUUCAGUACCCGGGAGAGAUCCCACCUCUUGUUGUGAUCCAAUCCCGCUCCCAGUAUAGUCCAUUAGUAACGUCGAGGUUAUUUGGGGUUGUUCCGAUUUCCCUUCCACCCUCUUCUCCGGCAAUCUGCCCUCCUCCUCCGAUUUCACAUACUCCUCGUCGUGGAAUUUCUUCUUCGCGAACCCAUCAACCGGAAUUCCUAGACUUCGCUUUCUUUUACCAAUCUGAGUCCCUGUUAUAUCCAUCAUCAUCCCUUCUUUUCCGGCAUUUACCUUUUUACUGUUGCUGUCCGAAGCUCUCGUUGUCAUCGGAGCCGAUCCGGUCGUCUUCCCCGUUGCCGAAUCCCUGUCCCGGCGGUUGCUCUUAUUUGAUUUCCCGCCUUUGCUUAUUCGAGUCGGAUCUCCCUCUUUCUUUUUAUUCAAUGACCCGCCGCCCUUUUUUAAAGUGCCCGACUUACCUGAACCAACCUUGAAUGGGUUCGACCCUGCUUCAGCCAAUUUCCGGUUCAACUCAUCCUGAUUGCCUUCUAUCUGGCUUGGACCGGUUUCUGUCAGGUUAGGUUGACCUCCUUGGUGAUUUGACUCAGCCGAUUUUACUAGUUCUCGCAUGUCUUGGGUUGCAUCUGAAGACAAUUUGGUCAGUUUGUUACCUGGUGCAACCUGACCCAGUGUAUCUGAUCCCACGUGGGCUUGGUUUAAUUGAUUCAUCGGGUGGACCCAUAGAGCCAAAUUUGCCGUUCCUCUGGUUGACUUGAUUCCUAUUUUGCUGAUUAGGUCCCUUAGCUGCCGCACUUUUAUUUUUAAAUGGUCAGGGUGCUUGUCGUAAUUUUCCAUCAUCUUUCCCAACCAUGCCUCCUUGAUCUGCUCCAGCUUGCCGCCGUACAUGUCCAAUUCGCCGCUGUACAUCUCUGAUCUAUUCCACGCUAGGUCUGCACCACUCUCUAUCGCCUUCGCCAGGUCAUACUGCGACAUUGCGCUAUUUUCUCCCACUCCGUACCACUUCCCGUUCUCCCAAAGCAAUUCCGCAAGUUUUGACAGGUUGUCGACCCCCAUCGCUUGAAGAGCCGUACUGUCCGGCAGUAGGAGUUCCUGCUGCUCGUCCUCGGUAGCGUGUUGCAUAGCUCCUUUCCGUUAGGGAAUUCUCUCCUUCGUCUUGGUGUUUUCCACCUCCAUGCUCCUCUCCGUCCUGUCUUCCUCCCGUUGGGUUAGCAUUCCUCUGCUCGUCGGUUCCUCUGUUUUCCUUUCCAGUGCAGCUAUCUGGUUCUCGGAUCUUCCCGAGUUGUUGCCGCCCGACCCGACCUUCAGAUAGUGUUGCAAAUUUGGGAUUAUUCCUUCCGGAUCCUCGUUAUUCGGGUUGACCCUACCCGACCCGAAGGCAACCGGUAUCGUAUUUUGGUUGAAUUGGAGCACCGUCAUCUCUCCCUCCACAUUUGUGUCAGCCGUAUUUUUCUCAUUGGCCCGCUGCUCCAUGUCAUUUAAGUGAAAUCCAUCUGUCCCAAUGGGGUUCUCCUGUUGAGCCAUGUCAUCCACCUCAGGUGCCACAUGUCUUACCAAGUUGUGUUCCUCAUGAGUUACCUCCUGCAUGUCCGCGUCGUUUAUUUCUUCCCCAGUCACCACCCUUUCCUUCACGUGGCCCUGAUUAGUCAGUGUACCAUUGGCCUGAUCGUCCACGUCAUUGGCUCGUCCUCCAUCUGCACCAAUCGUCUUCUCCCGUGCUGCCACAUCAUUUCCAGCUGGAGGUUCUUCCCCAUCUUCCUUUCCAGAGCACGUUUGGUUCGUCUUUCCCACCGCCGCGUCCAUUUCUCCGAUGAACGUCGCAUGCACCUCCUCGGGUGGAAUUUUGUCUACGUACCUGCACCUCUCCGUAGUGUGCCCAAAGGAUAUGCAUCUGCCACACACCGGUGGAGGAUUGAUGUAGACGACAGAGCAAGAAUCUUCCGUCUCCGACCCAUCGUCCCCGUGCAUGUAUAUCGGCACCUCAGAUGGGAACCUUCCCGCAGCCUCCAUUAUUACUAGAAUUUUUGCCCCGCUGGAAUUGGGCCCUUUUGCCGUGUGCGCAUCUGUCUUCACCGGUUUCCCAAGCACACUGCCGAUCGCCGAGAAGACCUCCGGUGCCCAUAUGUGUGCUGGAAAGCUCGGUAAUCCGACCCAAAUCGGCAGUCCUCCGGCCGAUUGCAAUUUUCGCGUGUUCAAUUGCAAUUCCCUCGGUCCAAUUCUUCACCAUGGUGUACACACCAUUCAUCCAUGUGUCACCUGCCAAUUUAACAGUAGCGUAGUCCUCCGGCCGUCGGAACUGGAUGAGGAAGACUCCCGACCUUCGAAUCUGCACGUUGAAUUGAUCUCCUUGGAUUCCCCAUAUCUGUUUUAUGAAAUUCUUUGCGAAUCGCGGAUCGAUUUGCUAGCCUACGUACAAGGAGCGUUCCGACGACAAACCUCGAUUUUUCUAUUUUCUUUAUCAACUCCGGCCUCAGUAGAGCUCCACGCCUCCCGUUCCUCUCCGCCGGUUCCGUGUAGCUUAGCGCAGUCGUGACUCCCUCUGGAAGGUCCGGGGCAGGCUUAAGAAUCGACGCAAAGGAUUUUUGCACCGAUGGGUUCCUGAAUUUCGCGAUUCUCUGUUGCACUGCUGCCCGGCGUUGGUUUUCGAUAAUCGACAAGUCCUCCGUCGUCGCAUUGCCAUCCCGCACUCUUGCUCUCCUUUGCAAUUCAAUUUUACUCCCUGUAGGACGAGGCAUCCAUCAUCUACCAGUCGCGCUCUCUGUAAAAAUUCCCGCCUCGCAAUCCUCUGUUUUUCCAACGCAGCCAAAUCCUCGACAGUUGGAUUUCCCGACCUAAUUCUCAAUCUUCUGUCGACCUCCUCCUGAUCCUUUGUCCCAGGCAGAAAACCGUCCCCUGCAAGCAUAGAAUUACGUCUUACCUCCGCGUGUGCACUGCGUUGCAAUUCCAACAGCUUCACAUCCUCCGGCGAACCCAUUCCUAUCCGCACACGCUCCCUCCUGCUCACAUCCUCCUCCGUCGUGGCCUUCGGUAGGAAACCAUCACCAGCGAGUCUCGCCCAUUUGUAGCCAUCCACUCUAGCCUUUAGUUGCUCCUCAGUAAGCUUUUCCACAGAUGGGUUCAUUCGACGACGGAAGUUUGCCGAAGUCAAUUUUCCUCCACCACGACCUCCCCCGACCUCUUCGACCAGUCUGACCUCUCGCCAGUGAGCCUGCCCCCGAUUUUUCACCUCCUCCAGUCUUUCUCCGGUUAACCUCGGUCCAUCCACCUCCAUCUUCAACCUCCAUGGAGAAUGGAGAGAUUCAAGAACACGAUCUAAGAAGGUACAAAAAAAUCAGAGUUUGAUUUAAAAAAUUGAAGACCGUACCUGUUUUAGUAUUAAAAUAUUCCAGCUUUUGAAUAUUUUGUUAGGAUUUCUCUCUCUCUCCGUGCUCCCGUACACCUACACCUGCAAAACAAAAAAGAAACGCAAUCGCCCUUUUUUCGCCCAGCCCUCAGUGCAAAUUUCGAUAUUAAGUAAACCUUGGUUACGCAACUGCAUGCAUGCGUAACUCUAACAUUCCCUUCCUAAAGUCGACGGAGUUACACCGACGAGGUGACGUUGAAGACAAAGAAAUGUUGAUGGUGUCAGUGCUUUGGUCAGUAUGUCCACUGAUUAAUACCUAAAAUAUGCUCUAUAAUAAACUCACCUUUCAGUUCGUUCACGGACGAAGGGGAGGUUGAGUGCAACAUGUUUGAGUUUAAUAUUCCCAAUGUGAUUACGUGCAAUGAAAGAGGCUCUAAUAAGUUGAUUAAUAAUUAUUUAAUUAAUUAUUAAAUUGAAAUAAUAAUGAUUAAUUUGCAUGAAAUUAGAAAUUUGUUAAUUAAUUAUUAAAUUGAAAUAAUAAUGAUUAAUUUCAUGAAAUUAAAAAUUUGUUAAUUAAUUAUUAAAUUGAAAUAAUAAUGAUUAAUUUGUAUAAAAUUAUAGAAAUCAUAAUUUAUAAUUAUUAAAUUGAAUGAUUUUAAAUUGAAAUAAUAAUCAUUAAUUUGCCAUGAAAUGAUUAUUUAAUUAUUUAAUUAAUUAUUUGUUUUAUAAUUAUUAAUUAAUUAUUUAUUUUUUUUUAUAUUUUAAAAAUGUCACGUAGAGUAAGAGGGCUCUACCACCCAAUCUCCAAGAUGCUUUCUGAUUUUUUCUCCCGGUUUAUCUUGCAUCGGCACCUGUUCGUCCAGCACCGGCCCCUCCCGCACCGUCGACACUUGUUCGUUCAGCACCGGCAACUCCGAAAAAAGUCGUUUAUGAAACGGAUUCGGAAUAGUUAAUUAGACCUUUAAUUAGUUAGAUUUUUCAAAAAAAAUUGAACUUAAUAUUAAUUGAACUGAAAUAUUGUAAUAGUCAAUUAAGUUUUAUCUAAUUAAUUAUAAUUUGAUAAAAAUUUAAUUUUUUAGGAUAAUGUUGAACUUCAUAAAAGUACCCGAUAAAGAUUGGAUGAGUUUAGAUCGGUUUUCCAAAAAAUACGGUGAAGGCUUAACAGCUUUCACUAAUUUCGCCCUUUCGAAUUCGACAAGGCUUACCUUGUCCAUGCUCGUCCUGCACAAAUAGUGAAGUGAUUCAUAUAAAGGAGAUGAAAAAACAUGUUUUCAUAAAUGGUUAGUUGAAACAUUACUACGUUUGGACGCGUCACAGAGAGUUACCGAGUAGAUAUGGUGAGAAAAAAGUGAAACGACAAAAGACAGUGCCGGAAACUGGUAACGAUAUGAUUGGAUUGGUUCGUACGGUUUAUGGAGAACAUGUAGUCGAGAAUACAGUCGACGAAGAAUUUCUCAAAACAGAACCUCUCGAAUACGAGCCUAUAGAUAAAGAUCCAGUCGAUGUAGAUCAACUCAUGGCCGGAGCUAUGUACCAUGAUCACCCUACGCUUUGACGGGGAGGGAAGCCGCACAAGACACCUCAGCAACUACGCCAUAAUACAACAAAAGACGACGGUGAAGGACGUCAUCGAGAGAUUUGAAGAGCUAUCGAACAGAGCAGGAGUAUUCAACGAUCAAUUCAAGACAGAAACGUUCAUAGAUGGAUUGAAGGAUGAAAUCAAAAAUGAGGUAGCACCAUUUAAACCUCAAACGGUCGAAUAUGCUCAGGAGAUGGCACUGUUGAUGGAAAUCAAGCUAAGCGAGGGACGAAGAUCACAACAGACCAAUCCGUGAGGCGCCACCGGGAGUGAAAAGACUAACGAUCGAAGAACAAAGAAAUCGUAGGGAUGCCGGACUGUGCUACAAUUGUGACGAACGAUGCCACCGAAGGCACGUAUGUAAGAAACCAGCAAGGGUUCUAUGUCUGGAAGCAAUGGACGACAUCGAUGACGAAGCACAAGCCAUGGUGGACUCGCUGGGAGAACCCGAGGUAACCCAAAUGGAAGAAAACAGAGAACCGGUGGAGGAAAACAGGGAUCCCAACACGAACGUGACUCUGCUGACGAUCAUUGGCGAGGCCGUCCCCCGCACCAUCCAAGUACAGGGCACCAUAAAAGACACCCAGCUGGAAAUCCUAAUCGACUCGGGUGCCAACCUCAAUUACAUACAUCGAAAAUGGGCCAGAGAAUUGAACUUACCUAUCGACAGAUCGAGCCGACUUCCCGUGUUGGUCGGAAAUGGAAACACGAUGACGUGCCUCGGAAUUUGCAGAGAUGUCGAGGUCACGAUGGGAUCCGCGACGUUUAUCGUCGACCUUCAAGUCGUACCCUUUAACGGAGCCGACAUCAUAUUGGGCGUCUCGUGGUUAGAAACACUGGGUCAUGUAACCUUUGACUACCACCAACGUUUAGUCUCGUUCGGAAUCAACAACUCGUCACACACUCUGAGCGCACUCAAAGAACCCGUUCCCACGGUCGUUCCAUUAUUUGUAAACGUUCACACUAACAACGACGACAAAGACUACAAAUUAUUUUUCCUCAAAAUGGACCCAAUUGAUCAAAGCUCACCCAAAUCGGCACCAGUUCCACCGGCGGUGCAAGUCAUUUUGGAUCAUUUUGCAGACACAUUCAGACCCAAGAAGGUACUACCUACAGUAAGGGAGACAGACCACGACAUAUUACUUCAUCCAGGGGCAGAGCCCAUUAAGGUCAGACCAUAUCGAUAUCCAUAUCACCAGAAGGCAGAAAUUUCAAAAUUAGUGGAUGAAAUGCUAGGAAAUGGGGUAAUCCAACCGAGUAGAUCACUGUUCUCAUUACCAGUGAUACUUGUAAAGAAGAAAAACGGAAGUUGGAGAUUUUGCGUGGAUUAUAGAACACUGAACAACAUCACCGUCAAAGACGCUUACCUGAUUCCGACGAGAUAUUCGACGAACUACAUGGAUCAAAAUAUUUUUCGAAGAUCGACUUGAAGUCCGGAUUUCACCAAAUCCUCUUGACUCCAGAAUCAGUCCCAAAAUCAGCAUUUCGCACCCAUAACGGUCAUUACGAAUCACUAUCGACGUUUGGGUUGUGUAAUGCACUGUCGACGUUCCAAUCCACGAUGAAUGCGAUCUUCAAGCCACAACUACGAAAGUAUGUGAUGGUUUUCUUCGAUGACAUAUUGAUCUACAGCAAGGAUUGGCCGUCACACCUGAGUAAUCUACGCUUAGUAUUAGCUACUCUGGCCGAGAAUUCUCUGGUAGCUAAUAAAGAUAAAUGUAAUUUCGCACUCCGCUCGAUAGAUUAUUUGGGUCACAGAAUAUCGGGGGAGGGAAUUGAAGUAGAUCAGAGCAAGAUUGAAGCGGUAAUUAACUGGCCGAUACCAACCAACACGAAGCAACUACGGGGAUUUCUCGGACUAACGGGUUACUACCGGAGGUUUGUGAGACACUACGCGAUGAUGGCAACACCCUUAACCCAACUAUUCUGCAAGGAUAGCUUCGUAUAUGACGAUGAGGUUACCGGGUCCUUCAACAAAUUAAAAGAAGUCUUGACGACGACCCCCGUCCUCCAACUUCCAGACAUCGACCAAGAGUUCACGGUGGAAACUGAUGCAUCCGGUUUUGCCAUGGGAGCGGUUCUCACAUAGAAGAAAAAACCGGUGGCCUACUUCAGUAAACAAUUUCCUCCAUCUGUCCGCCAUAGUUCAGCCUAUGUGAAGGAGAUGGUGGCGAUCGUAGAAGCUGUAAAAAAAUGGAAACACUACUUGACUUGCCGGAGGUUCACUAUUGUCACUGACCACAACAGCCUCCGCCACCUAGUCACACAACAAAUACAGACUCCGGCUCAACAACGUUACCUGCAACAGUUAAUGGGAUACGACUUCAACGUUGUCUUUCGCGCGGGCAAGUUGAAUGUCGCAGCGGAUGCACUGUCCAGGCGGGAAGACUGGAAGAACGAGGAAGAGGAAGCAAUCUUAAGCAUACUGACUAUGCCGGUCUCCGAUCUAAUCGAGAAAAUUAAGAUAGUGGCAGCAAACGACAUGAAUUAUAAAGCUCUAUGGACGCAAAUCUUGUCAUCACCAACAGAGGUAACCCAUUAUUCAAUCAGAAGAGAUUUAAUACUAUAGAAGGAAUCGAUCUUAGUCCCAGACGACGAGGAACUAAAGAAAAUGAUCUUCGAAGAGGCGCACUCGACACCAACAGGAGGCUAUUCUGGACAGAAAGGAACCAUCUCGAGGUUGUCACGGUCUUUUUACUGGAGAGGAAUGUCGGAAAACAUCAAGAAGUGGAUCAGAGAAUGCCCAAUCUGCCAAGCAGCGAAACCCAACAAUGCAAAAUCAAACGGUCUUCUGCAACCAUUGCCGGUACCAACCAGAAUAUGGGACGAGCUCACCAUGGACUUUAUUACGAACCUUCCAACGUCCAGUGGGAAAUCAACAAUAUUAGUGGUGGUGGACAGACUCGGUAAGGGGGGACGCUUCAUUUCACUAAAAUCGCCGGUGACCGCCACCUCAGUCACAGACGCGUUCUCAAAAGAAGUGGUCCGACUCCACGGGUUCCCAAAAACGUUGCUCUCUGACCGGGAUCCGAUCUAAAGAAGUAAUUAGAUCAAGAUCAGUCUAUACAUUUAGAAUACUAAAAUACAGUUAACUCUGUAAUUGGAUCUACUUGUAGUUCAUGAAACUACAAGGUGUUUGCAGGUUUAAUGUUUGAAGAAUAGAUUGAUGCAGAGAAUCUUGGGGACUAAGCUGCAACUUCACCAUUAAAAGAAAUACUCGAUGGGCCAAGAAUUAAAGAAGCCCAACAGUUUGUGUUAGCAGUCUGUCCCAACAAGAAGUUAGUUAAAGUUGUUUAAUAUCUCAUUAAGUCUGUACUAGUAUAAAUACAUUGGUUAAUCAAUAUUCAAGAUAUAACAUUUUCCACUCAUUUCCCCCUCUUUCUACAGUAACCUUUGUUUACUAUUGCAACUAUAUUUUUAGGGUAGUUUAUACGACUAUCCCUAGUCUUUGCCCUCUUCUGCCUCUAGCCAUCCGACGAGCAAUUGGGCGAUUCCGGCGAGCAAUCCUCACGGAAUCACAUCCUCGAGUUUAAUACGAUCUUCCUAAGCUCCUUCUGGAAAUGUCUAUUUAAAAACAAUGGGACCAAGCUAUUGAGGAGCUCCUCGUAUCAUCCACAGACGGACGGCCAAUCGGAAGUUGUCAAUAGGUGUCUACAGCAGUAUCUACGUUGCUUCGCAAUGGAUCGGCCGAAGGAAUGGAGCAAAUACUUACAUCUUGCAGAACUAUGGUAUAACACUUGUAAACAUACGUCUGGAGUAACGCCGUAUGAAUUGACCUUUGGACGACACCCACCCCCAUUGAUACGUUGCACAGACAGCCCCUUUGACGAUGAAUUAGCUGCAGCAACAACAAGAACUAGAGAAGAGAUACUGGAGUUGGCUAAAAACAAUCUGCUUAAGGCAAGGGAAAGGAUGAAGUUAUCAGCAGACGCGGGGAAGAAGGAAAUCACGUUCAACAUCGGGGACAAAGUAUUAAUUAGGUUACAGAAAUACAGACAGAAUUCGGUGGCUAAGAGACGCUCGAACAAGCUGGAGAGAAGGUAUUUCGGGCCAUUCACAAUCACAGAAAGAAUCGGGGAGGUAGCCUACAGAGUGAGCCUACCUUCGGGAGCCAAGAUCCACGACGUAUUCCACGUCGCCUUAUUGAAAGAAUUCGUGGAAGGUCACUCUCAAGCAGAGCAGACGUUCCCGGAGGACCUGCGCCAGUUCGAGGACGAACAAGGUUUCGAGGAGCAUGGAGUUGAUGCGGACGAAGCACCCACUAAAAGGCAGCGACAUUCGCCGGUAGCGAUGAGUGACUACUGCACCAUCUGAAAUCACUCAUCGGAGAAGAAGAAGAAGAACUCUAUUUUAAUAAUUUGCUUUAUUAUCUAAAAAAUUCUAAGUAUUACAAUUAUAACCCUGUUGGUUAUAAUAUUAAAUAUUGCAACUAAAUUAUAGUUGCUUAGUCGUGUAUUACAAUUAUAACCCUGUUGGUUAUAAUACUAAAUGUUGCAACUAAUUUAUAGUUGCCUAAUCGUGUAUUGCAACUGAAUUAUAGUUGCCUAGUGUCGGACUAUAUAAGUCCAAGAAAUGAAUGGAGAAACAACAAGUUUUGAUUCCUAUUCUAAACACUAGUCUUCUCCGGCGAUCACCGGAGAUAACGUCAUCAAGGCGUUACAGCAGGUAUUAUAAAUUAAUAUUCUCGGACCUCAGCAAUCAGUAUGGUGGAGUACAUCAUUAAAUAUUUGAGGGGAACUUUCUACCUCCUCAUUAAUACCCACUUGGUUGUGACCUCAGUUGGAUGAUUUGCUCUCGAUCAAACCUCUUUCACCUGCAUAGAUUAAUUUUAGUUUUAACAUGGAAGAAGAAGUAUUUGUAUUCUGUAAAAAUUGAGUUAUAGUGGGUAUGUAUAUAUACACGACAUUUCUAAUGCGGACAGACCGUUGUAACGGACAUUUUCUCGAGAUGUCCAUCCAUCGGUUCACACCACCACUCCCGUCCGUUCCAUCCUCCAACUUUGUCGUACGCGGCUCCGGCACGAAUCCAUUUGCAGUCCACUCCCGUCCGUUCCAGUUCCGAUCGCGGAGACCCAUCGCGGAACUCCAGUUCCGAUCGCGGAGACCCAUCGCGGAACUCCAGUUCCGAUCGCGGAGACCCAUCGCGGAACUCCAGUCUCCGAUCGGAGACCCAUCGCGGAACUCCAGUCUCCGAUUGCGGACUCCGAUCGCGGAGAUCCAUCGCGGAACUCCAGUUCCGAUCGCGGAGACCCAUCGCGGAACUCCAGUUCCGAUCGCGGAGACCCAUCGCGGAACUCCAGUCUCCGAUCGGAGACCCAUCGCGGAGACCGUUCACCGGUGAUGGGGUUGGCUUGUACACUGCUAUAGGUCAAUGAAUUUCGAUGGACGGUCGGGAGAAAUUCGCGGAACCAACGGUGAGAUGAAGAGUCCGCAACAUGUCCGUCCCGGGAAUCCGGGAAUCGUCCGUCCUGAAAACGCUUCCUGUAUAUAUAUACCAAGUUUAACAACUUACCUAACUAACACCUAACAACUUUCGUAAACCUUUAACAAUCUAAAGUGAUAUCAUAUAUAGUGACGUCAUGAUGACGUCAUCAAUAGUUGGUUCUGCAUGCAUGAGUAACUCUAACAUUCCCCCUCCUAAAGUCGACUGAGUUACACCGACGAGGUGACGUUGAAGACGAAGAAAUGUUGAUGGUGCCAGUGCUUUGGUCAGUAUGUCCACUGAUUAGUACUUAAAAUAUGCUCUACAAUAAACUCACAGUUCGUUCGCGGACGAAGUGGAAGUCGAGUGCAACAUGUUUGAGUUUAAUAUGCCCAAUGAGAUUAUGUGCAAUGAAAGAGGCACUAAGAUUGUUCUUGUAGAUUUUUUGAGGAGAAGGUACCUACACUCCCAUUUCUUCUAACAUGCCCUAGACUGCUUCAAGCUCUUGAGUCGUGGCCACGAUUGCCCGAUAUCCUGCCUCGGUUGUUGAACGAGCGACGGUAGGUUGCUUUCGAGAGAGCCAUGACACAAGUGUCACUCCGACAUAUAUGAGGAACCUCGUUCUGCUUUUUCUGUCAUCCGUGUCUCCCCCAAUCUGCGUCACAAAAUGCCGUGAUGCCCCUUCCGUUCAUCUUCCUAAAAAUGAUGCCAUGAUUAGGUGUACCGGACAGAAAACGAAGUACUUUCUUCAUUGCGACCCAGUGAGCCUCCUCCGGGGAUGCCAUGAACUGAGACAAACGAUUCACCGCAAAUUAAAUAUCUGGACGUGUGAGAGUUAUGUAUUGAAAGGAACCAACAAUCCUUUCGAUAUUCUUUUGCAUUGACUACUCUAACAAUGUCAAUCAAUUAAUUAAUAAUGAUUUUCUGUACAGUGCUUUAGUCAAAGAAGCAUUUAAAUCUUAGGUACUUAGUCGCAAUUUUGAAGAAGAAAAUAUCAAUGAUACAUCGUCUUUGGUUUUGUCUUUUAUGCUCAUGUUUUUUCACUCCUUCAAAAACUAUGAUUUCAUUGAGGUUAUUUCACUAUAUCGAAAGACUCGAAAAUAUAUCUAGUUUGAAUUGAUCACAGUUGAUCUUUGAACGACUAAUAUUUAAAAAUAUGGAGUCUGCUUGCUAUUCUACAUGUCCAAAGACGUGAAAAGAAUGGUGAUCGAGUCGGGGAAGUACAUUCAUGGUUGUGUCUUUUUUUUCAAUUUAAGUAUUUGUAAGAUUAUGUCCUAGCCCUAUUUUUAUUUGAACAAUGGAAGCCUAAUGUAUUGUUAAUAUAUAACUGAUUUAUAUUUUUUUCGAAUCUUUUUAUGAGAGCAUACCACAUUAUUUCCUGCUAAUUCACCACAGAAGCGUAUAAUUUUUCAAUGAUAUGAAAGACUUCCUGAGCGGAAGAAUCGCACUAUUGCGUCUCUCAGUAAUAAUGAGGUAUUGAUUUGGACAUUUUUAUUUUGAUUAGUAAUAUAAUGUUAAAACUUAUUUAAUUUGUUUUUACAGGUGUCUAAAUUUCCCCUUGUUGGUGCUAUAGACCGAACUAGUCGCCUUAAGGGCCCGGGCGCGCGAAUGGGCCAGGGGGAACGAAUGGGCCGGCAAGCCCACGAGGCCCAAAAGCAAGCAGAGCACUAUAAAUACCUCCACUGGUCCACUAGGGGAGGGGGUUGAUGAUUCUAAGAGUAAACACUUGUAUUGAGUUGAGGUAAUGAGUUUGCACCAACGAGCUCACACACCAACAGUGGUGAACCUGACGUGAAACGAACACAUCGGAGAGCUCACGAAGAGUGGGACACUCAGGAAGAAAGGCUACGCAUGGAAAUGGAGGAGAUCAGGUACGGGUGGGAGUCACUCAGGAGAAGCAGGCGUAGCGGGCCCCCAUCCCCACUCAAGGAGAGAAGGUCAAGCAGGUCACGACCCCACGGGAGGACCCGGAGGCAGUACAACCCUGGCGGUGGGCGGAGCAGGGGGAGGCCCUGGCACAACACUUGCUAGAUGAGGAGUAUCCCUCUGGCUGGAGAGCCCUGAAGAUCCCCUACUACAAGGGGGACACCGACCGGGAAGACCACCUCUACUCGUUCAAAACCAACAUGGAGGACAGAACAAGCCGAAAAGACAUUUGGUGCCGGAUGUUCCGCAGGGCCCUCACGGGCGACGCGGUCGCAUGGUACAGGAUGCUGCCCACAGGGUCCGUGGACACCUACGAAAGCCUGGUGGGAUUGUUCCGGGCGGCUUUCUCGCACCGACGAAGGAGGCUCAAAAUCAAGAUCACCCUCAGCGCCAUCACAUAGGGAGAGUUCGAGAGCACGCGCGCGUACAUGGACUGGUUUGCGGGCGAAGUGCAGAAUAUUGAAGGGAUAUCAGAGGAGACGGUCCUAUACGCCCUCACCGACAGCUUUAGGCCAACCUUCUUCGCGGGGGACCUGGUGCGGAAGCCACCGAACACGUUCGCGGAAGCCAUGGAAAGGUCCCACGGAGAAUCCAACACGGAGGACUUCCUGGGGGCGAAAAUCCAAGAAUACAAGCGACAACAGAAGGGAAAGGGCGCCCCCCCCCCCCGGGCGGAGGCGGACAACAACAUCCACACCAACAUCAGCAGCCGCAGACCAAGCCCCCGGCCGCCCCGCAGGUGACUGCGUACAAGACAGGUGCCCCCGGAGGAGGAGGGCGAAGGGAGCCAGGGCUGGUCAUGGUAAGACAGGCGGACGCAGGGUGGAGGAUGUGCGUCAACUUCACGAACCUCAACAAAGCAUGUCCCAAGGAUAGCCACCCGUUACCAUCGGUGGACAGGCUGGUGGACCAGAGCUCCGGGUGCAAACUGUUGAGCUUCAUGAACGUACACUCGGGAUACAAUUAAAUGCCCAUGGCAAGGGGGGACGAGGAGAAGACGUCUUUCAUCACGGAGAUGGGCACGUUCUGCUUCAAGGUAAUCCCGUUCGGCCUGAGAAAUGCGGGGGUUAUAUUCCAGAGGCUAAGGGACAAGGUAUUCGGGGAGCAGAUAUGCAGGAACGCGGAAGUAUACGUGAACGACAUACUCGUCCGAUCGAAGGAAACCGGGACACACCUGGCCGACCUAGAAGAGACAUUCGCCAACAUCAGAAGGGCAGGAUUAAAAUUGAAGGCGAAAAAAUGCGCGUUCGGGGUGAAGGAAGGGCAUUUCCUGGGCUUCCGAAUCACACCAGAGGGGAUCAAGCCGAGGGAAGAGAAGGUCGAGGCCGUCAUGGCCAUGACCCCACCGCGGACGAUAAAGGAGGUCCAGAAGCUGAACGGAAUGGUAGCGGCCCUGAGUAGGUUCCGGCCAAGAACGGCGGAUCGCCUACGCCCGUUUUUUUCAGCUCCUAAAAAAGCCCGGCCCCAGAGUAGCGUGGUCAGACGAGUGCCCCAGGGGUGCCGACGAAGGAGAAGAUUGACCCUGGCGAAGAGGGGAGAGCGGAGAAACCAUCAGGGAGUCGAAGGGUGGGCGAAGCUCGAGGAGGGCCCGGGCGACGUCAACAGUGGAUGCCGAAUAGUGCAAAACUGCACUAACGCGCAAGGGCGAAAUUAAAACGCUAAUACAACAAAAGCGGAAAAUGCAACGUUAUACUAACAAAGCAAAGGUUACAACGACCAAGAGGACGGCGAAGGCCGAGAAAAAAAACAACAAGUUAUAAAUGCGACAAAGAAAAAACAUAAAGGCAAAGAGCGUCAGGGCAUUCCGGGCGUCGCCUGAAGGCGAGCCCAUCAGCCGAAGAGGCACGGGAGUGGGCGCGGAUCGCGCCGGGGCGGACUUAGCGGCCCGACUUCGGAGACCCCGACAGGAAAUGGCGCAGGUCAGUAGCCGGGAGGGACGAGGACCCACGGGAGCGGCCGCGCGACCGACGACGAUGGCCAGUAGCCUCAUCAGGAGAGGACGCAGGAACCACGACCGGAGCAGGGGCGCAUGCGAGGACCGGCGGGAGCCCGAUGUAAUUGCAGGACCGGUGGGAGCCCGAUGUAAUUGCAGGAACGGCGUCGCCGGCAUACCGGCUCGCGAGGAGAUCAGAGCGGCGAUACUGAGAGAGGCGGCGGUGGACAUCUAUCAGCACAGUGUUAAGACGUUGAGUCUCCGCCACGACCACAUGGUUGGGGACGUCGACGGGCGUCAGCAGGCACAAGGCCCACACGGCGUGCUGAAGUUGCACCUCACGGCCAUACUCCUCUAGUAAGGAAACGAAGGGGAGCAGCUCAAAACUCGAGGCGUCAUUAAGACGAGUAAAGAGGGGAGGUUGACGACCAGGUACGAACGAACGGAGAGUAUUGUUGGUGCCAUGGACCGAACUAGUCGCCUUAAGGGCCCGGGCGCACGAAUGGGCCGGCGAGCCCACGAGGCCCAAAAGCAAGCAGAGCACUAUAAAUACCUCCCCUGGUUCACUAGGGGAGGGGGUUGAUGAUUCUAAGAGUAAACACUUGUAUUGAGUUGAGGUAGUAAACUUGCACUGACGAGCCCACACACCAACACCCCUUAUCUACAAGGUUUUUGGACGGUCCACCAGAUGUGUAAAAAUAUUUUUUGAAAAUUUUACCUAACUCAUUUGAUUCUAAUAAUUUUUAUUCUGAUCUAUACAUUUAUGUAAUAUUUUAUUACAAUUUCUAUUAUGAUAUUUUUAUUAUCUUUAAAUUAAUUCAACUAUCUAGAUUUGUUUGUUAUUGUAAUCUACUGUUUUGAUUAUUGGGUUUAUCUUUGUUUGUUUGUUAUCUAAAGUUUUUGAGAUUUAAUGUGUGAGUGUAUGGCUUGCGAUUUAUCCAAGUUAAGAGCAUGUCGAUUGGGUAUUUUUUAAUAAAUUAAGUGAUGGCUUUUAAUAAAACUCAAAUAAGUGAUGAAUGAGUGUUAUUUGAGUGUUAUUGUAUUUUUUAGUUAGUUCAUGUAUUGUUUUUGUUUGUUUAAUUAGUGUAUAGUUUAUCUUUAGCUUUCAUGAUUCUUCAUCUUUUCUAUUGAUUUAUUAAUAUACACCAGGGAUCAGAGACGGCCGGCCGUAUGAUGCGGCCCGUCAACGGUAAGGUUACCUUCAUCACCUUCUCUAAAACCCAUGCGAUCUCCAGUUCCGAAGCUUCUAUGGUCUCCGAGUUAUGCGGAACUCUGAUUUCGCGAAACCCAUGCGAUAUCCAGAGUUAUGCAGUUCGCGGAACCCAAUCAGAGUUCCGAACGGACGGAACUGGAGAUCGGAACCCAAUCAGAGUUCGGAACCCAUGCGAUCAGAGUUUCAGAAAAUCAGAGUUCCGAACGGCCGGAACUGGAGAUCGGAACCCAAUCAGAGUUCGAAACCCAUGCGAUCAGAGUUUCGGGAAAUCAGAGUUCCGAACUCUAGUUUCGUGGACCCAAUCAGAGUUCCGAACGGCCGGAACCCAUGCGAUCUCCAGUUCGCAGUUCGCAGAACUCUGGUCUCCGAGUUAUGCAGUUCCGGGAACUCUGGUCGCGGAACCCAUGCGAUAUCUAGAGUUAUGCAGUUCCGAUUUCGCGGAACUCUGGUCUCCGAUUUCGCGGAACUUUGGCCUCUGAUUUCGCGGAACUCUGGUCUCCGAUGGGUUCCGCGAAUUGGAGUCCGAGAACACUGUUAACUCUGGAUUCCCGGACUCCGAUCGGAAUUGCAUCACUGGUCUCCGAUGAUCAGUGAUCGGAACUGCAUCACUGAUCAGUCUCCGAUCGGAACUGCAUAACUGUUCCGGACUCCGAUCGUAUUGAAAUAAUAAUUAACUUAUUUAAUCAACUUAUUUUUAUUUAAAUUUUUUAUUGAAAUAAUAAUCAUUUCUUCUAAUAAGUUGAUUAAUAAUUAUUAAAUUGAAAUAAUAAUGAUUAAUUUGCAAAAUUAAAAAUUUGUUAAUUAAUUAGUAAUUAUUAAAUUGAAAUAAUAAUGAUUAAUUUGAAUGAAAUUAUAGAAAUCAUAAUUUAUAAUUAUUAAAUUGAAUGAUUUUAAAUUGAAAUAAUAAUAAUUAAUUUGCCAUGAAAUGAUUAUUUAAUUAUUUAAUUAAUUAUUUGUUUCAUAAUUAUUAAUUAAUUAAUUUUUUUUUUUUUAGAUUUUAAAAAUGUCACGUAGAGUAAAGCAAUUACCUCGUAAGAGGGCUCUACCACUCAAUCCCCAAGAUACUUUCUGGUUUUUUCUCCCGGUUUAUCUUGCACCGACACCUAUAUGUCCAGCACCGGCACAUGUUCGUCCAGCACCGGCCCCUCCCGCACCGCCAACACCUGUUCGUUCAGCAUCGACAACUCCGAAAAAAGUCGUUUAUGAAACAGAUUCGGAAUAGUUAAUUAAACCUUUAAUUAGCUAGAUUUUUCAAAAAAAAAUGAACUUAAUAUUAAUUGAACUAUAAUAUUGUAAUAGUCAUUUAAGUUUUAUCUAAUUAAUUAUAAUUUGAUAAAAAUUUAAUUUUUUAGGAUAAUGUCGAACUUCAUGAAAAUACCCGAUAAAGGUUGGAUGAGUUUAGAUCGGUUUUCCAAAAAAUACGGUGAAGGCUUAACAUCGUUCACUAAUUUCGCCCUUUCGAAUUCGACAAGGCUUACCUUGUCCAUGCUCGUCCUGCACGAAUAGUGAAGUGAUUCCUAUAAAGGAAAUGAGAAAGCAUGUUUUCAUAAAUGGUUAGUUGAAACAUUACGACGUUUGGACGCGUCACAAAGAGUUACCGAGUAAAUAUGGUGAGAAAAAGUGAAACGACAAGAGACAGUGUCGGAAACUGGUAACGAUAUGAUUGGAUUGGUUCGUGCGGUUUACGGAGAACAUGUAGUCGAGAAUACAGUCGAUGGAGAUUUUCUCGAAACAGAACCUCUAGAAUACGAGACUGUCCAUGAAGAUCCAGUCGAUGUAGAUCCAGCCGAUGAAGAUCCAGAGAACAGAUAUGAUGAUUCGUUCUUACGACGUCUAAAAGAAGGUGAAUAGCAGUUAUAUCCAGGUUACACAGAGUUUUAGAAACUGUCUUUUAUCUUGGAAUUGUAUCAGUUGAAAUGCGACAAUCAUUGGAGUGAUAAAAGCUUUCAGAAAUUAUUAUCUAUCAUGCGUCGUGCUAUUCCAAAUGGUAAGUCGACCAUUCCGAAAACCAUAUACCAUGCGAAGUCGGUGGUUCGUGACCUGGGUCUCAAUUAUACGAAAAUCGAUGCAUGGCGCAACGAUUGUAUUCUAUAUCGAAAUGAGUAUGCAGACGCAGAAACUUGCCUAAAUUGUGGAACGUGCAGGUGGGUCGUCGAAGGCGUUCAGAAAAAUAAACGUGUUCCUGCGAAAUGUCUUCAUCACUUUUCGUUGAUUCCACGUUUGAAGAGAUUGUAUUUGUGUUCCAAAAUUUCUGAAGAAAUGAUAUGGCACCACUCCAAACGUAAAGACGACGGAUUUCUUCGUCAUCCAGCUGAUUCUUUACAAUGGAAGAAAUUUGACGAGGUUCAUCCCAAAUUUGCAUCCGAACCUCGUAAUGUGAGACUUUAGCAACUGAUGGAUUCAAUCCAUUUAGUCAGCAAUCUCUAUCUCAUAAUACUUGACCAGUGAUUGUUAUACCGUACAAACCUUCCACCUUGGAUUUGUAUGAAGCAACCGGCCGAAUUUCAUGUUGUCUCUACUAAUUUUCGAUCCGUCAGCUCCAGGGACUGAUAUCGAUGUCUAUCUUCAAUCGUUUAUUGAUGAAUUGAAGAUUUUAUGGACAGAUGGUGUUACUGCUUUUGAUGUGCGCAUGCAGAAAUCUUUUAAUAUGUUUGCAUCGAUACAUGAUUGUCCGGGAUAUAGUGAUAUAUCAGGGUAAAGCACUAAAGGAAAAUUAUCUUGUGCAGUGUGUAAAAAUAAUACUGAAAGUAUUCGUUUAGAGCAUGAAAAAAAUGAAAGUUUUAUAGGACAUUGUCGAUUUUUAGAUAUGAAACAUUAUUACAAAAGUGAGUACUCAGAUGACUUUAAGUAGGAAACAUAUCCGUAAAAUGACUUUAAGUAUAAAGGUAAAAUGGUCAGAAAAUUAGAAGUCUGUUAGAUUUAAAAUCCAACCCAUUAGACGGCUACUUUUAACAUUUUCUCUUUUUUUAUUAGGUAUGAUAGUUAUUACUGACAGUGUGUAGUCUUUUUAUACUUCGCUAAUUCUCACAGCCACCUAAUUCUCACAUCUGAACGACUACGUCGAAGUACCCUUCUUGGAAUAGAACAGGCGGCAGGGAUCAUUUUGUCGUCGGCUGUCAUGAUUGGGCAACCCACGAGACCGAACGGAGUAUGAAGAAGGCGAUAAGAACCCUGUGCAACGCCGACGUCCUUGAGGGUUUUGAGAUAGGCAAAGACGUGUCUUUACCGAAAACCCACAUGAGCAACGGAAGAGAUCCUCGUCAGAACAUCGGAGGCAAACCUGCACACCAACGCACUACUCUGGCUUUCUUCGCCGGACAGAUGCACGGAUACCUCCGUCCAAUUCUCAUAGAGCAAUGGCAGAACAAAGAAGCGGAUAUGGUCAUCUCUGGCCCAAUACCUCAUCGGGUAAAGAAGAAGACCAAGACGAAGAGUCGGAGGAGAAAGAAAACAAGAACGGUGAUAUCCUUACAUGAACUACAUGAAAGACAGCAAGUACUGCAUAUGUCCACGUGGGUACGAGGUGAACAGUCCUCGAGUGGUCGAGUCGAUAUUCUAUGGUUGCGUUCCGGUACUAAUAUCCAACAACUUCGUUCCACCUUUCUUCGAGGUACUGGAUUGGUCGUCAUUCUCGGUGAUCGUGGCAGAGAAGGACGUCCCACGGCUGAGGGAGAUUCUCGUCGGAAUAUCGAAAAACAGGUUCAUGGAGUUGGAAAGAGGCGUCCGACUAGUUCGUAGAUAUUUUGUUUGGAACUAUAAUAAAGGUCCGAUUAAAUUCGAUUUGUUUCACAUGAUUCUCCACUCUAUCUGGUUCAACAGAUUAUAUGAGAUCUAAAUUAUAACUUUGGUUAAUGAACUCCGGCCAUCAGUUUUAGCUUUUAAACCGCCGUCGCCAUAAUUACCAAUAGGCAAUACUUGAUAUACAGCUGCUAUGUCUCAUCGUCCCCAACUUCCGAUAUACAGCUGGUGAUGCGGACGAAGCACCCACUAAAAGGUAGCGACAUUAGCCGGCUGCGAUGAGUGACUACUGCACCAUCACUCAUCAGAAAAGAACUCUAUUUUAAUAAUUUGCUUUAUUAUCUAAACAAUUCUAAGUAUUACAAUUAUAACCCUAUUGGUUAUAAUAUUAAAUAUUGCAACUAAAUUAUAGUUGGUAUUACAAUUAUAAGCCUGUUGGUUAUAAUACUAAAUGUUGCAACUAAUUUAUAGUUGCCUAAUCGUGUAUUGCAACUGAAUUAUAGUUGCCUAGUGUCGGACUAUAUAAGUCCAAGAAAUGAAUGGAGAAACAAGUUUUGAUUCCUAUUCUAAACACUAGUCUUCUCCGGCGAUCACCGGAGCUAACGUCAUUAAGGCGUUACAGCAGGUAUUAUAAAUUAAUAUUCUCAGACCUCAGCAAUCAGGUAUGGUGGAGUACAUCAUUAAAUAUUUGAGGGGAACUUUCUACCUCCUCAUUAAUACCCAAAGUCUACAUGUUUAUAUAAGAGCAGACGUUCCAACUUCUUUUCAAACACACCUCUUCUCUUUUCUUCAAUGCCAACAUUCGGGAUAAGCAUGACCGACGGACCAAAGCUGGGAGGAAAUAGGAUCUGGCAGGAGACGAUAGAUUUCAUCGACCUCACAUAUGAGGACGACGACUAUCGCACUCCACCUGCAACUCGUCAUCGCCUCAAUGACGAUUCCCCACGGUCCGUGUUCGACUUUGAACCAAUGUCCCUUGUGCAUGCAGCAAAUCGUCAAGGAACCGUCCGUCGCCCGCCGAUCCGUACACCUAUGCACGUCGAACCACAUUUUGCAGAAUAUGCACCCGUCCUCGCUCACGCCUGUCCGGAUCAUCAGCUGCCGCCUCCGAAUGACGUCGUCGUCUGCCCCAGUGUGCACUACAAGAAAACAGAAUUACGUCCAUGACUUAGCCAAUGAUGUCAAAAAUCGUGGCUAAUUGUUGAAUAAUAGCCACGACUUUUUUAUUCAUGACUAAACCUGUGACUAUUUUGAAAAUUUAGCCACGGAUGGAACAAUCUGACUAGGAUGUCAAACAAGCCAAGCCGAACUUAUGCUUAUAGAGCCGGACUUGGGCUCGAGCUCACGAGUAUGAGCUCGAAUUAAAAGAAAUAAUUAUUUGAAGACAUGGAGGAUCAUCGAACCAAUGAUCUCUCGCAUGUUUAACAAACGUUUUACCAUCUGUGUUUCACCUCCAUUCUCUCCAAAUAUAAUAUUUUUAUACUUCUUACCGAGUCCAGCAAACUUAACGAGUCAAGCCGAACUUGAGCUUCAGGCUCAGGCUCGGCGGGCUCGCGAGCCCGAGCUUAAACGAGUCGAGCCCGUUGUUUUAUUUUACACCCUAUAUCCGUGGCUAAUUAGGUGGCUAAAUUUCCUUUCAUUUUUUCACUCAUAUUUUGUCACGGAUUUGGAAAAGUCGUGGCUAAUUACGUGAUAAUAAAAUUAGCCACUGAUAUUUUAAUGUAUUGUCAUGGUCAAAUGCCAUGGCUAAUAAUUAUAAAAUAUAUAUAUAUCUAAAUUUAAAAAAUCUAAUUAACAAUAUCCAAAUAAAUAGGAAUUUAUUUUAAUAGAAAUGAAUAAAAUAUUAUUGGAAUGAAUUUUUGGUUAGUUUAUAUAAAUUAAUAGAAAUUAAUAAAAGUUAUUAAAAAUUAAUAAAAAUAUAUUUAAAAUUAAUACUAAUUUAUUUAAAAUUAAUACUAAUUUAUUUAAAAUUAACAAAAAUAAGUUUAUAUACAUAUUUAGAUAGUGUUAGGUAGGAGUGAAAACGGGACGGGUCACCCCAGUCCCGCCCCGGUGGUAACCGGGGGCGGGGCAGAUAUUCUGUCAUGUUUUUCAUUUUUUGCCCCGUGUUCCGUUACCCCGGUCAUAUUCUGGGGCAGGGCGAAACCCGGGCGGGUCGCCCCGGUUUUUAAAAUAAUUAAAAUUAAUUUUUUUUAUUAAUUUAAAUUAUAUUAUAUUAGAUAUAUGAUUAUUAAAAUUAAAAUUUUAAAAAUCAAGGUAAAAAGUUUACUCGUUUUAAAUUUUAGAUUUAAUUUUUUUUAUAAUUUAUAAUUUUAUAUUUUUAUAAUUUCAGACGGGUCGUCCCAGAUCCGCCCCGUUCCACGGGUCCAGGAUGGGUCUCGGGUAAAAAAGUAGGGUACCUGACUCGUCCCGUUCCGCGUCUCGUUCUCACCCCUAGUGUUAGGGUUAGAAAGAGUUACCUAAAGAUUACUAAUUUAUUUCUAUCUGAAUUUUAGGUUAGUUUAUAUAAAUUAAUAGAAAUUAACAAAAGUUAUUAAAAAUUAAUAAAAAAAAUUUAUAUACAUAUCUAGAUAAUGUUAGGAAAUACUUAAAUGGUAAAAUUAAUUAAUUAAUCACCUUUAAUAAAAUUAUAAAAGUAUAAAAUCAUCUUUAAUAAAGUUAAUUAAUAGUCAAUUAAUCGAAUUAAAAUUCGAAUAAUUCGGAUAUCCAAAAGUCAAUUUAUAUUUAUUCGGAUAUUUGUAUCCAGAUUUAUCAAUCGAAUUUGAAUUUUAACGACCGAGAUAUCCGGAUCCGUCUGAAUAAAUUUCGGAUAUCAUUUUUGGUAAGUCUGUAAAUGAUAUAACAGAGUCCGUAUUCGAAUCCUCAUUUAAAUUCGAAUAUGACUAUCCGGAUUCGGAUAUCUGAAUUGAAAUUCAGAUUUUAUUCGAUCGGAUUUGGAUAUUCGGAAAAUCCGCCGAUAAAAUCCGAAUUCAUUUAAGAAUUCCGGAUUCGGAUAUCUAGAUAAAUAUAUAUUAAAUUAACAUUAUUAUAUUUAUAUAUUAUAUAUUUAUAUAAUAAAUCAUUAAACCUAUUACCUAAAUUAUAAUUAUAAAUCUUUAUAACUUUUUAACAUAUAAUUAUUAAAUCCUAACCCUAACCUUAAAGUUAUCUGGAUUCUGAUUAUCUAAAAAUUCGGAUAAUUUAUUCGGAUUCGGAUUAUUCGGAUAUCUGGAUAAUUUAUCCGGAUGCAAAUUUUCAAAUCCAAAUUUUAUUCGAUCGGAUUCAGAUAUCUGGAUAAUUAUGCAGAUUCGGAUACCUGUAUAUCCGAUCCGAAUCCGAUCGAUAUAUAACGUUGCAACUCGAGUCUACCGAAUCGAAUACCUAAGUAUUUGGUUCGGUUCGUUUAAAUAAACGAGUUUACUCUUUCGGUACGAUUCGUUUAAUAACCGAACCUAACCGAACCCGAAUAGUUCGUCGAAUACUGAACUUUUUUUAAAUCAUCCUAAAAAUAAACAUUAAAAAAAAUAAACAUGUUCAUCUGACUAUCUUUAAAAAAUAAACAAUAAAAAAAAUAUUAUUUAUAGUCUAUUUUAUUUUGUUAAGUCAAUCCUUAGUAUCUUUUCUUUUUGUUGAUUAAAAACCAGCAUUAAUAUACUAUAUUAAUGAAAAAUUGUAAAAGUUAUAAAAUAUAUAAUAUAAAUUUAUAAUAAAAAAUUAUAUAAUAUAAGUUUCUAAUAUAAAUAUAAAAUAAUAAAAUAUAAUAAAAAUGUUAAACAAACCGAACCGUUCGUCGAACCUUAACCAAAGUUUGGAUUCAGUUCGUUUAAUUAAACGAAUCUAUUUCAAAGUUCAGAUUCGGUUCGUUUAAUAAUCGAACCGAACCCGAAACGAACCGAAUAGUUCGUUGAAAACCGAACUUUUGUUGCAACGUUACUGAUAUACAGACUUAAUUUUUGGUAUCCGAAAAUUCGAAUAGACAUAUUCGAAUUUAAAAUUGGAUACAAAUACGAAUUUCAAUAUACCAUAUACAGACUUAAGAAGGAAGAUGCAACGUCUAGGGUUUGGUAAUGUUGAAAGAUAAAAAUUUAUGAAAUUAUUUAUAUUGAUUUUUUUAUAAAUUUAUCCAGGUUUCGAGUGAGUCAGAUUUGGUUCAGAUGAGUGGGUGAAAAUGGAUCGGGUGGAGUGGAUAGAAAUAUCCACAUGAACGACCACCUCAUAUUUGAAUCAGGUUUAAAUUCAACCCCUAGUUGAAAUUAUAAAUGGAAAAGAGAAAAUAGAUAAAUGGAAACCCCUAGUUGUUAACCGAGCUAGGUAUUCGGUUCGUUUAAAUAACCUAACCCUAAUAAACGAACCUAGUCUUGGAUUUGGAUUCGAUUCGUUUAAUAAUCGAACCUUAACUCAAUAGUUUGUCGAAUACCGAACUUUUUUUACAUCAUCCUAAAAAUAAACAUUAAAAAAAAUAAACAGGUUAAUCUUUGGAAGAAAAAACAAUAAAAAAACAUUGAUUAUAGUCUAUUUUAUUUUUUUGAGUCAAUCUUUAGUUAUCUUUUCUUUUUAAUUAAGAACCAGCAUGUUAUCGUCCUAAAACCACGGCAAAAAUUAAAACCCUAGAAAUUAAAAAAUUAAUAUAUAUUAUAUUAAUGAAAAAUUACAAAAAUAUACAUAACUUAUGAAAUAUAUAAUAUAAAUUUAUAAUAAAAGUUAUAUAAUAAUAAAAAUGUUAAACGAACCUUAACCAAAGUUUAGGUUCGUUCGUUUAAUUAAACGAAUCUAUUUUAAGAUUCAAGAAUAAUUCCAGGUUCGAUUUGUUUAAUAACCGAACCGUAGUUCGUCGAAUACCGAAUUUUUUUUUGCAAUGACAGAAGGGAAACCAUCUAUAAAGAAGACAUAAGAAAAACACAUUCAAUACAAGUAUGAUGCUGCAGUAACAUGUGCUGAAAGCAUACUAAAGAAGUCACUAAAAUAAAGGAGGACUAAGCACUUGUAAGAUAUGGAGAUUGGAUAUCAUGGGAAGGUCAUAAUCUACGAUAACACUCGUAACAUAUCCAAACAAGAUUCAACAAACAAUCUGCAGCUUAGGCAUUCCACUGUAAAGUCAUAGAAGGAUGAAUGGAUGAUCAAUGAUACACAAAUCACCUUCAAGAUGAAGAAAGAUAAAAGGUCCAAAAAGACAGAGAGCAAUAAACUUUAGUCACUUGUUAUAGCAAUGAUUGAGAAAUAGUUCCUAAAAAUGGUUAGUAUCUACAAUGUGCUCAAGAGAACAUUAUUAAUUUGCUAAAAAAAGAAACCACCCAAUAUCCAACCAAUCCAAACGUAGGAAGAGAUUCGAUGUGAUACUUUAGGAGUUAAACAAGCAUGUCUUUAACAUAAAGAUAUGAUCCACCCCACUUUAGUUGCUUUGCUUUAAACAAGUAUCAACCUUCAAUGUGUGGUGUUGGAACAAGCAAUUAAUAGUUAAACAGAAUAUCCUCCUAUUCGUUAAAUAUUCGAUAACUUGAAUGAAGAUGGAAGGAGAAGCAAGAAAAGUGAUAAACUUACUUUCAUCAUGGUAUGCACACAUUAAUCGGUUUAAAACCUUAACUAUCGGAAACCGAGCGAUGCGCCGGUUUUCUGGUUUAUACUUUUCUCGGUGGGUUUAAUGAUUUGGAAAGAACACAUCAGGGUAUCAUCUACACUCAUCAUAGCACCGGCAUUGUCGAACUCACCACAGUAGUUGGGUGCUGAGAAUAUUGUUACAAGUUGCCGGUCCGCAAAGAACUCAUAACCAUCCUCCACAACCUGAAAAGAUGUUACAACAACCGAUGUUCGAUAUCAUAAAAGAUGUUGAGAUCGCUUUUUCGAUUUCGAUUGAUUAUAAAUUUAGGAUCUAACCUGAUGAGCACGACACACUAGGUCGAGAUCAAGUUUCUCAGUCAACUCUGUGACUUGGUCAGCACCAAAGGUGUAUGAAACUCCUCUAUCGUUCAUCCCCCAUCCUUUAAUGUCUUUACCAGGAUCCGACCACAGAAGAUCACAAAACAAUCCCGUCUCAGGCACAUCAUUAGGGCGCGAGAUGCUUCGAAUCUGAUCCAAGUUCUUCAAGUCGGGGGAGAGACCACCGUGCAUGCAAAGAAUUUUCUCAUCGAUCAGAGCGGCUACCGGUAAACAAUUGAAGCAUUCCGAGAAAACUUUCCACAGCCGAACGUUAAAUCGUCGCUUGCAUUCGUCGUAAAAACCAUAUAUUCUGUUUAUCGACGCACACUCAUGGUUCCCUCUCAGCAGAAAAAAGUUUUCAGGGUACUUGAUCUUGUAAGCAAGAAGCAAACAUAUUGUCUCCAAGCUUUGUUUGCCCCGGUCGACGUAGUCGCCUAAGAAGAGAUAAUUCGCUUGCGGAGGAAAUCCACCACAACUGAAUAGCCUUAGAAGAUCAGAAUACUGGCCGUGAAUAUCACCUGCGUCCACCGAUUCAAGAACAAACACACAAAUUAACGAAAUACUCUAAAAUUUCUAAUUUUUCAUCAUGCAAUUAAAUACCCAAAAAUCAAUUUAUUUCCGAAACCCUAGAGGGCGAUGAACCGAACCACACUUAAUUUCACUCAAAACAACUAGAUUAAAAAAAAAAAAACUAAAUCGAAGCAGGUUGAGGAAUUCAAUUAAUUCCUAAAGAAAGAAGAUUUUUUAUUUUUUUUACCGCAAAUCUUUAUUGGGGCUUCGAGUUCGAGGAGAAUAGGCUGUUGCAAGAAGAUCUCUUUUGACGCCGAACACAGGUGACGGAUCUCUCCCUCUGACAUCUGGACCUGCUUCCCCGGUGUCCCUUUCACUUCCAAUAACCGACUGAUUAUGCCAUCCAAACCGGUCGGAUCCAUUAGUCUCUCCCUCUUCUUCCUGCAGAGUAAAGUGGAAACGAACAAGUUGGAAGUGAGUAGUCUGGACACAGUCAAACAUAACAACUCAAUAGAAAACAAAGAAGAAAUCAAUGGAGGGUUUCAAUGUUCUUCCUGGUUCACCUUCGAGAAGAGGUGAACUUGUGGAGUAUCGUCGAGGAACGUUCGAAGAAAGAGAGAGUAGCGACAGCAAGAUUUGGAUUUUAUACUUUUAUGUCGAUUUUUUUAUUAAUUGUUCGUUGUAAAAUUUUAUUCUUAAGGACGUAAAAUGUAAAUGAGUUCGGCUCUGAGGGUUAAUUUUAGGGUUAGAGUUUAGGGCUAAUAGGGCUAAUUUUAGGCGCAUUAAAUGUUUUGGACUCGAAAGUUCAGAUCCACUAGUUAAUAGUCCAGGUCCAGAUUCAACCUGUUAAUAGUCCAGCCUACUACCCUCUUUCAUCUUCGUCCUUUCAAACACAGACUACAGGCUACAACUCUCAACCACUAAAGGAAAAAUGGAGAAACAACCAAAAUCUGGGAUUUUACCAUCUACAUUUAAAUCUGGAAAAAAGAUUAAGGGAAGCAGUAAUGAAAUAUCGAAAAAAGAAAAAUUGAUAAAGAAAUGCACAACCCUAAUUACCUACUACGUAGAAGAAACGAAAAGAAACAAAAACCUUUUACCUCGCCGCCUAUGAAAAAUCACAAAUAGAGUUAAGAUUUCAACGGAGAUCGAUUUGAAUGUGGUGAUUAUUGAUGUGUUGGUAUGAGUAUGACUGAUUUGAUGUAUCAGUUUGCAAAAAUAAUCCCUAUAAAAACACCUAUAAAAUUAAAAACCUACGUAAAACACUUACAAAAUCUUGUUGUAUAUUUUCCAACUUAUAUAAUCUUUAACUUUAUCAUUUAAAUAUAAAAAUAAUCAGACACGGUCCGAUGAUCACAAAUAAGGUUAAGAUUUCACGAUUGGAAUGACCGAGAUCGUUGGAAUUAUUUGAAUGUGGUGAUAUUGAUGUCUUGAUAUAUUUGAUUUAAUAAUUGAUGUGUUGGUAUGAGUAUGACUGAUUUGAUGCCCCAAUUGUAAAAAUAAUCCCUACAAAAUUGUCAAAACUACCUACCACCUAAGGUAGUUUUAGAGUUAAAACUAAAAACCUACAUUUUUUAUAACCAUUUUACCGUUAAAAAUUAUUUAAAUUUUCUUUGAUAUGCCAUUGUCAAUAACGGGCAAAAAAUGUACCCAUCGUCCUCCCACCUCCCGAUCAUAUUUCUCCCGAUUGACCGAUGAUGAACUACCAAAGCAGUCCACUCUCCCGAUCACCUUCUCGAACAACAAACUCACAGGUUGCAUUCCGGAAGACAUUGGGUUUACGACAAACAUGGAGGUUUUGGACUUCAACUCCUUCACCGGACACUUACCGACAUCCAUCUCAUGUCUCUCCGAUAUCCAAGUCUUCAAUAUCGCGCACAAUCAGAUCUCGGGAGUUUUCCCAGACGUAGUUUGCUCAAUGAGAAGCCUUAUGAAUCUCACCAUCUCCUUCAACUUCUUUUCCGGGUUCAGUCACUACUGCACAAAAUCAUUCCAGGGAUUUGAUUUCUCAGAAAAUUUUUCUCCAAUCCUUCCAAUUUCGGCAUGGGUGUCAGUUCCCACUCCUUAGCCCCUUUCUUAUAACCCAUUACAACACCACCACUACCGCUGCUUGAAUCUUCUAAAGGAAUUGAAGUAAUAAAAUCACUGAAAUUAAAAUAAUCUUUAUUCAUAAUUACAGGACUUAUGUGAGAUUAUUUCCUUAAGAUUUCUAUGCAGGAAAUAAUAAAAAACCUGAGGAGUAUAAUGCAAAAGUUUCAAUAAAACUUGUUAAAGAAUAAUGAUGAAGCUCGGGGUCAGAUACAAAAGUUUCAAUAUAAGAUAAUUGGGUUAAAUCAUAUUGGGCCGCGCAUUGGGCCAAAGUCAGCUAACUAUAAGAUUAAUUAUUAGUAUGUUAAGAUGUAGUUAGUUAAUGAUUAGUCCAAAUUGUAUUAUUAAUAAACUAUGUCUGAUUAUGAUUAAAUCAAUGAAAAGUGAUACAGAUUCAAUUCUAAUCUCCCUCCUAAUCUUCCAACGACUCUAGGUCGACAGUUAAGUCGACCAAACUCAUUUCUUCCCCUGCGCACACUCCGGCCGACGAAUUCGUUCAAGUUCCGGCCAUCCUUCCGAUCAAUCCCGCCGGACAGAGUUUCAAAAUGGUAUCAACAGUUGCUAACGACGUCGACAGAGAUGCUACUUCCGCGAUGGAGACGAAUCAGUGUGAUGAAGAAAAAGAUCUCAACAUAGAAAACACUAUCGAAUCAAGCAACCAAGACAAUAGCCUUCCUGAGAAUGGUUCAAAGAUUUCUGAAUCAUCAAAACGCAAAAUCAGAAAAGUUAUUGUGAAGAAACCUCGCUGUCAAGAAAGCGACAGGUAUGCUAGAAAUUCUCCAUAUUUUUUAACUUCGGGAGACCACCCAAGUGCCCAAAUGGUGGUUGAUAAAUUGAGAGGUGAAGAGAAUUACAUGGCUUGGGCAAAUUCUAUGAGAUUGUCAUUAGUCUCUAGAAAGAAAACUUCUUUUAUAAAUGGUAAAAUUAGAUAGAAAACCCUUAGAUGAUGAAGGGGAGGAUUAUGAAGAUUAGGAGAUGGUUAAUGGUUUAGUGCUAUCAUGGAUCAUCAACAGUGUGAUCCCUCAGAUAGCAUCCACCCUAGUUCAUACAGAAACUGCCUAUGAGGCAUGGUUAGACCUUCAAGAAAGGUACAAACAGAAAAAUGCCCCUAAAACCAAUCAACUAAGGUAUGAGAUCAACACUCUUAGUCAGUCAAAUAAUAGUGUUUCAAUUUUUUUUGAUAACUUCAAGACAUUAUGGGAUCAAUUCAUAGAACUAGAGAAACCCGAUUGCAAAUUUUGUUCCUCAUGCAUCCUAAUUUAUAACAAGAAAAUUGAAAAAGAUAGAAUUCAUCAAUUCCUAUUAGGAUUGAAUGAUGAGUUCAUGACUCUUAGGAGUCAGAUAUUAGCUUACCCCGACCUUCCCACAAUGAACCAAGUUUUUUGCUUAGUUAUGAAAGAAGAAAAACAUAAAAUCAAUUUUAGGGAAAAAUUAGGUGAAGAAGUUACUGCCCUGUUUGCAAAGAAAACAGAAGAAGAAAAGGAAAAAAAAGAGAAACCAAAGAGAAAAGGAGUUUAUGGAAAGAAUGGUAAAAAAUUAGACAAUAGAUUUUAUUGUGAUAAUUGCAAGUUCUUUGGACAUACAAGAGAACAAUGUUACCAUAUAAUAGGGUUUCCAAAUGACAAAAAGAAAUUCAAAAAGGAUAGAAAGGAAGAUUCAAAGAAAACAGAAACAACAAAUCAAGUUUCCUCAUCUUUAAAUACACAAAGCUUGACUGAUGAAGAGCUCAUAAUGCUUAAGGAUUUUCUAAACAAAUCCUCAGGUAUGAAUUUUUCUUUUAAUGCAUCAAUUUUUAAAAAUUCAUGGAUUAUAAAUACUGGAGCUUCCCAACAUAUGACUGAGAACAUCCAUUUUUUUGACAAAACCCCAAUUGGGAAUCAUAAGCACUUUGUCACCAUUCCAAGUGGUGAAAAAUGCAAAGUAACCUCAAUUGGGAAUAUAACAAUAACCAAAGACUAUACGUACUUAAAAAUGUCUUAUAUAUACCCCAACCCCAAUUCAAGGUUAAUUUAAUAUCAAUAAAUAGAUUAACCUCUGACUCAGAUCUGAAUGUCAUUUUUGAUAAAAUUAAAUGCGAUUUUCAGGAAAGCAAAUCAGGGAAAGUGAUUGGACAGGGUAGAUGUCGAAAUGUACUCUAUUUUUUGGAGUCUCAAUCACUUGAUUUUGCAAAUACAGCCAUGGAUUUUGAAAUUUGGCAUAAAAGACUUGGGCACAUAUUUUCAGAGAAGAUGAAAAUGCUUGCCAAAGACAUAGAAUGCAAAUUUUUUUCCUUUUCUGAACAUGAUUGUAAUAAAAUAGAUAAUUUUGUUGCAAACAAACAAAUACAUUCAAGUUUUAAUAAAAAUCUUGAUUUCAUAAAAGAAAAAUGUAAUAUCUGUCCACUUGCAAAACAAGUUAAAUUGAAAUAUAAAAAUAGUACAUCAAAAUCAAAAGAUAUAUUUCAUUUGAUACACAUAGAUGUUUGGGGAAAAUUUCCAAUAAUUACACAUGAUGGAUACUUUUAUUUUCUCACCAUUGUUGAGGAUCUAAGUAGAACAACUUGGAUUUUCUUAAUGAAAACCAAAGGCGUGGUCUUAGAAUACAUUUCAAAUUUUAUAACUAAAGUCAAAAACUUCUUUGAUAAAAACAUAAAAAUUAUAAGUGAUAAUGGAGGGGAAUUUAGUUCAAUUAAAUUCAAAAUACUGUUAGAAAAGCAUGGGAUAAUACACCAAUCCUCCUGCCCAUAUACACCCCAACAGAAUGCCAUAGUUGAGAGAAAACAUAGACAUCUGUUGGAAGUGGCCAGAGCACUACAUUUUCAAAGUGCAGUAUCUUUAAAAUACUGGGGUGAGUGUAUUUUAACUGCUGCACACAUAAUGAAACACUACAUAAACAGAAAUUUAAUUACAGCAAUCUCAAGAGUUUUGGAUGCUUAUGUUAUGCAACCACAAAUUACAAAGAACAUAAAUUUUCACCAAGGACUUUUAAGGGAAUUUUUAUGGGAUACCCAUCUAAUACUAAAGGUUAUCUCAUACUAGACAAAAGAUAUGAAAUUCCAUAUUUCAAGAAAUGUUGAAUUUAGGAAAAAUAUUUUUCCUUUUAAAGAUAUGACUGAAGAAAUCCAGGAGAAACAAAUAGAUAAAAAACCUUUACAAGAUAUAUAUGAUCAAAUCAUAUACUAUCAUGAUAAACACAGAAAAAAUAAUAACAAUAUCAUACAGCCUGAAAAUUUAAUUUCAGACAGCACUAUAUAGUCUGAAAAAUUAAAUUCAGACAGCAACAAACAAGAAAAUAGAAUGCAGUCUGAAAAUCCAAGUCUAAACAGCAAUAUGCAAUCUGAAAAAUUAAAUUCAGACAGCACAAAACAUAAAAAUAGAUUGCAGUCUGGAAAUUCAAUUUCAGACAUCAAUAUGCAAUCUGAAAAAUUAAGUUUAGAUAGCACCAAAGAAAAAAAUACAAUGCAGUCUGAAAAUUCAAUUCCAGACACUAUAUUAGGCAGCCUGGAAACUCAAUUCCAGACAACAAUACACAGUCUGAAAACUUAUAUUCAGAUAAAACAAAAAAUGAUAGAAUGCAGGCAAAGGAAAUAGCUAAAUAUAAAACAAACAACAAAAUUAAAAAUUUAAAUCCAGUUAUAACCAGACCAAACAAAACAAAAAUAAUAAACAUAAACUCAUUAAACAUACCUGAAUAUAAUCAGGCUAAUGAAGAGGAAAACCUAAAUUCACGAACAGAUGUAAAUUCAUUGGAUAUACCUGAAAAUAUUCAGGCCAAUGAAGAUCAAACCAUAAGUUCCUAUAACCUGUCUGAAAAUGAAUUAAAUAAAGAAACUCAGACAGAAACAAACAACAACUCUCAGGAAUCAUUGGAUAGGCAAAAACAAAAACCCAGAGCAACAACAAAGCUCUGGACAGGGUAAUCUAGACAGACCAACUGAAAAUAAGGCUUUACAACCAACAAGCCAUAAAACCAGCUUGUAAGGAAGGAAAAUAGUAAAACCAAAAUAUUUUCAGGAUUUUAUCUUACAAAAUAAAAAAAUAAAACAAAAUGAGCCUAAAUACCCAAUGAGCAACCAUGUUUCAUAUAAUAAAAUAAGUAAACAUCAUAAGAACUAUCUAAAACAAAUAACAAUUAACAAUGAACUAUGUUCAUUCAAUGAAGCUUCAAAGGAUCCAAAAUGGAUUGAAGCAAUGGAAAAUGAAAUGAGAGCAUUAAAAAAAAAUAACACUUGGACUCUCACAUAUCUUCCUAAAAACAGAAAAUCCAUUGGAUCAAAAUGGAUUUAUAAAAUUAAAUACAAACCAGAUGGUCAAGUAGAAAGAUAUAAAGCAAGGCUUGUUGCAAAAAAUUUUACACAAAAAGAGGGUUUUGAUUUUUUUGAAACCUUUGCACCAGUAGUGAAAAUGGUGACUAUAAAAAUCAUAAUAGCAGUUGCUUCAAUGAAAAGUUGGAAUUUAUACCAACUAGAUGUAAACAAUGCAUUCUUGCAUGAUGAAUUGAAUGAAGAGGUUUAUUUAAAACCUCCACAAGGCUUAUUAGAAGAAAAUGAUAAAAGAGUAUGUAAACUAAAUAAGUCAUUAUAUGGGCUUAAACAAGCUUCAAGAAGCUGGUUUGAGAAACUAAGAGGAGUACUCUUAGAGAUUGGCUUUUCCCAAGCAAAAUCUGAUUAUUCUCUUUUCAUUAGAGAGAAAAACCAAAACAUUUUAUAUCUCAUUGUAUAUGUGGAUGAUAUCAUCAUCACAGGUAGCAAUGAGCUAGAAAUUGGAAUUAUAAAAGUUCAAUUAGAAAACCAAUUUAAACUGAAAGAUCUUUGAAAAUUAAAUUAUUUUUUAGGCAUCGAGGUGUCAUAUUCACCUCAAGGCAUAUAUCUUUCUCAAAGGAAAUAUGCAUUAGGAAUUCUAGAAGAAUCUGGCCUCUCUGGUGCAAAACCUUCCAAAAUACCAAUGGAAAAGUUUAUAGACUUAAAGAAUGAUAAAUCCAAAUUAAUUCAGAACCCAACUUUCUACAGAAAGAUGAUUGGUGAAUUGAUAUACCUAAACAUAACAAGGCCAGACUUAAGUUUCUCAGUAAACUGGUUAAGCCAGUUCAUGCAUGAACCAAAAGAAGUUCAUCUUAGAAAUACAAGCAUGACCCAGGGCAAGGGCUACUAUACAGUAGAAAUACAAGCAUGACAGUUAGAGCAUAUUAUGAUGCUGACUGGGCAGUCUGCUAAAUUAGCAGAAAAUCAUUAACAGGCUUUUGUAUUAUGUUGGGAAACUCAUUAGUCUCCUGGAAAACCAAAAAGCAAGUCACAAUAGCCAGAUCAUCAUGUGAGGCAGAGUACAGAGCUAUAGCUCAAGUAACCUGUGAAAUUAUAUGGAUUUAUCAACUAAUGGAUGAACUUAAAAUCAGAAUAAUAAAACCCACAGAACUCUAUUGUGAUAACAAGUCUGCUAUUCAUCUAACAAAUAACCCAGUCUUCCAUGAGAGAACAAAACACAUAGAGGUGGAUUGUCAUUUUAUAAGGGAAAUGAUAAACCAAAAGAGAAUAUUACUAAAACAAAUUGGAACUAAGUUCCAACAGGCAGAUUUUCUCACAAAAGCACUUGGUGAGAAAGAAAUUAAAGAUUUUCACUCCAAGCUUGGAAUAUUAGAUAUAUAUUCCAAGGCUUGAGGGGGGGUAAAGAAAUUGAAGUAAUAAAAUCACUGAAAUUAAAAUAAUCUUUAUUCAUAAUUACAGGACUUAUGUGAGAUAUUUCCUUAAGAUUUCUAUGCAGGAAAUAAUAAAGAACCUGAGGCAUAUAAUGCAAAAGUUUCAAUAAAACAUGUUAAAGAAUAAUGAUGAAACUCGGGGACAAAGAUACAAAAGUUUCAAUAUAAGAUAAUUGGGCUAAAUCAUAUAAGCACUGGGAAAAAGUCAGCUAACUAUAAGAUUAAUUAUUAGUAUGUUAAGAUGUAGUUAGUUAAUGAUUAGUCCAAAUUGUAUUAUAAAUAAACUAUGUAUGAUUAUGAUUAAAUCAAUGAAAAGUGAUACAGAUUCAAUUCUAAUCUCCCUCCUAAUCUUCCAACGACUCUAGGUCGACAGUUAAGUCGACCAAACUCAUUUCUUCCCCUGCGCACACUCCGGCCGACGAAUUCGUUCAAGUUCCGGCCAUCCUUCCGAUCAAUCCCGUCGGACAGAGUUUCAAGAUCUUCAAUCUCGAAAAAAGGUUUCUUUUCUACCACAGGUGGUGGCUCUGAUUUCACGCUCAAGGAAUCCUUCUUCCCCCUGCGGGAGGAUCUGGAAGAUACUCCUUUCCUUGCGCAGGUUAUGUGAGUCGAGAUUGACGAACGAGGAAGAGCAUGGAAAGUGGAAAAGAGGCCGAUAACGACGCUAUCUGUGUCAGUUCCCCCUCCAAUCUUGCCCCUCCGAACCCAUUCCAGUCCGUACACGCUCUCUUCUCCGGGCGUCCUCCUCCGUUGCUGGCUUCUGUAGAAGGGAUUGGGGCAGAAGAAAAUAAGAAGAUCGGGUUUGUCGGGUCAUUAUAACGAGUUACCGGGUAUGGGUAAACCCAACAUAAUUUACUAAUGAGGGACAAAUUAGGAAAAUUUACUCCCUAACACACCCUAACCACCUAAUGACUAGGCUUGGUGGUUACUUUUGACCACCAAGCCGUCUUAGGUGGUUAGUUUUAAGUUUUAACACUUACCCUAAAAUUAAACACCUACCUAAAACACCUACAAAAUCGCAAACACUAUUAUUGUCAUAAGAUGUGCGGUCAAGAUUCCCCGGUCGAUCACAUCUAAUUCUUGUUGUAUAUUUUAUUAGGGCAAAAUUCUGGUGCAAUAUAACUAUAUGCGCUAUCUGCGCCGUAUCAAUCCUGGCCGUUGGUAUAAGUUGAUGGAAUGUCAGUCGUGUGUUAUAUAGUAGUAGUAUAAUGGUGUGAUUAACGUUUACAUGCUGGAUAAUAGAAUGUGACAUGAAUAAAUUAAUAGAUAGUUAAUUAAUAACAGGAAGCCUAUGUAUGAACCUAUGUCGUAUUAUCUUGUCAACGGUUGUUUGACUUGGAAGAAAGAAGGAAAUUAUCUCCAAGGAGACGCGACUAUUAAUCCCUUCAACAACCAAUAUAAGUAGGAUUUUGUUUUCUUCAUCUUCUUCGGUUUCAUUUGUCGUUCGUCGUCGCCGUUGUAGUGAAGUGGACAUCGGAAGUUGCAGAGCGUGCACCAUACGACGAUCGGAUUUGGCUUCUCUCCUCGGACAACGCAUUUGCCCCAUCGUACAUUGGUGGAAAUCGUACCCUAACCCUAACUCUAUUGGGGCAACUUACAUAAAAAUGACACAUGUCGAUGGGGAAGUAAAAUUAUAAAUGAAAAUAUUGUUAGAAAAAUAAAACAUUUCAUUAAAAUGAAAAGAUAAAUGGAAAAUAUUACACGUCCAUUACGAAUAGGUAAGACGAUACCAUACUACGUACUGAAUGAAAGUAGAACGUCAAAAAAAUAGAACUAACUACGUCAUUGAAAUGAAAAUUACAACAUCAAUAUAAGAUAGAUAAGUACGACAUAUAAACGUAAACUACUGAUGCAAAUAACAAAAGAUGGACUAUUCCAUUUGAAGAUCUAGAGUAAACACCUGGUUCGAGCAUAAUACUGGACGUCCACUUCAUUGAUAAACCUUUGUCGUAUCAUAACAUCAAUGAUAUGAGGAAUAUUAGUAUGAGUUGGAGGUGCAUAGGUUGGGAAAGUGUCUACAUAAAAAUGUGUGUUAAAGCAAUACUGUGGAAUUGAGAUUGGGAUGAAGUUUGACGUCACAUUGUUUGUUAGAAAUAUAUUAUCAUGGAAAGUAUUGGAGAACAUAUGGUAUGGAUAUUGAGCUUCAUUUUCAUAAAAGUAUUCAUAGAACUCAUUGAGAUGGUUGUGAUUAAGGUAGUUUACAGAUUCAACUGUAUGGUAGGAAAUGGGCAAUGGAAGAGUUGUCGAGGUUCGUUGAGGGAGGGAGCUUAGUUGUGGGAGGGGAAUCUACACGUCAUUGUAGUACGUUGGAAGGGGUAUGAAACCAGGAAUGACAUCCUCCGGCAGAUCAAAUAGUGCUUGUGGAAAAGUAAGUGAAUUUUCAAAUGAAGCAACUACACGAUGAGGAUCAUGGUCGGGAGUCUUAGGGAUGGCAGUCGUCCUGCUAAUUUGAGAUUCGGUGGGCAUUUGUGAUUCAACAGUCAUAGACAAAUCAGAAUCGUAGGUAUCAUGUAUAGAUUGCGUCGACCAUUCAUCAUAGCUAAGGGACACCUCCGGUUGUGAUGGUUGGCAGUGAGGGACGACUUCUUCAUCAUCAGAAAUAAUGAUGUGUUCUUCAUCAUCAGAAAGAAUGAUGAUAGAAGGAUCAGCCAUUUUCCGACGAAAAGAAAGAGGUAGAUGAAAUGAAACUUGAGGAUAACAGAGAUAGGAAGACCAUGUUUAUAUAGAAGAUGACGUACAUAUUACAUUGUUGAAGUAGUAUGUCUGGGGUAUGAAGUGACGUACUGACACUUUUUGACAAUAUUGGGAAAACAUCCCUUACAUAGCCCGGUCGUGGUGAUUGACAAGCUGAAAUCACUUUGACAAUUAAAAAAAAGUAACUUAAAACAGAAGAGCUAACUUUGGAGACGAAUGAAGCUUGAGGAAUGAAAAAAAUUUGGAUACAAUUAAAAAAAUGGAUGAAAUGGGAGUGAAAGGAAGUGAUAUAAGCGAGAUAUGGAUGAAGAUAUAUACUACACAUUUUUUUAGAUGGAUGUUUGACGUGUGGAACAGUGGACGUUUGAUGUGUCGUACAACACAAUAAUUAGCUGAGUCAAGUCAAGCAUUAAAUAGGAGAUAAAAAAAAUUGUGUUAAUCGAGAUUUAUUAGAAAAAAAAACACAUAACACUGUUGCUAUUUAAGUUAAAAAUCAGUUUUACACAGAAAAUAAAACCAUGUAUCUCGUAAUUAAGAAAAAGAACCUCGUGAUCCGGAUCUGUCGUCGUACACUACAUAUGUAGAAACGCCGUAAACAAUUAAAGCCGUCAGAUGUCAGACGGACAGCUGUGAUUGAAGAUGACGCAUAUAUCUCAAAUAGCAAUAUUGCACCUGAUAAUUUCCCUAUUUUAUUAACCUAUAUAAUUUUUAAUUUAUGAUUUAAAUAUAAAAAUAUCAAAGAUUUUUAAAUAUAAAAAUAUAAACUUUAAUUUUAAACUAAUUGACUUUUAAAUAAUUAAAUAUUUAAAGUUAAACUAUUAUAUAAUAUUUUUAACUUAAUUUUCUAUUAUAUAUUUUACUGUUUUAGAAUUUUACUAAAUUUUUUAUUAAAUAUUUUUGUAUAAUUAUUGUAGUUAAAAAAAUCCCUAUUUGAACCCAACCCCAGACUCGGACCAACUUCAUGAGUCCGGGUCGAAACCAAUUAGCACAGACCGGAUCCAUUUACACCCUUACUUAUUUUACACAAAAAAAAUUGCAUCUCUUGAUUGAUGGGCCCAAGGUCCAGCCCAUGUAUUCUUCAUAUAAUAUUAAUAAAACUUCACAUCCGUCAUUUUUCUGAGGACCUAAACCUAAAGAGUAGUCAUCACGACGGUCGUUGCCAGUGUCUACGACGUCUGCUAUGCUCGACAGAUAUUCUCCGAUGGGCUUGGCUCCCUUUUGCAUGUUGGUGCAACUGUAUUUAUUGUAUCUUUUUUCUUCUAACAGACAGAAAAUCGAAGAAUCAAACAAAUUAAUAAAACUACCUCCACGUAUAGAAGAUGGUAAGUCUAUCAAAUGUUUUAAAAAACAAAACUUUAAACAGAGAAAUAUUUUAAACAGAACUUCCCCACGUAAUGAGUUUUUUACAAUGAUAAAAAAAAAACAGAACUUUCAAAUGAUAAAAAUUGAAACAUAGAGGAUGAUAAAAAUUGAAACAGAACUUUUAGAAUAUAAACUCACCAUUUUUCACCAAGAACAUAAAAGUAAAUCGAAGUAUGUAAUAGAAUUCACCGGAGAGAGGAUUGUGAUUCACCAAGUCUGCCAGAACUCACUGUCCUUACUGCGCUUGCCGGAAGAUGAAGAAGUCGCGGUCGCCGCUGCUGCCUGCCUGCCGGAACGGAAUGCGAGAAAUCGGAACGAUUGGUUUUGGGAGAAAAUAAAAAUCGGAAGGGAGGGUUGGGGUUUAAAGAUUUGGGGAUUUUAAUUAUUUUGGAUUGGGGUUUAGGGAUUUAGGGGUUGGGUUUUUUACGUUUUUUUUCAUUUCGUUAUAAUUUAAACUUUAUUUUUAAAAAUAUAUAAGGUAAAAUAAAAAUUAUCCAUUUAGGACGGUUUUUUCAUAAACCGUACCUAAUUUCACAUUUAGGGACGGUUUUUCAUAGACCGUCUUUAAUUGUUUUUCAAAAAAAAUCAAAAUAUUUAGAGACGGUUUAUUAAGGGUGACGACGGUUCCUAAUUUAAAAAAAUCGUCUCUAAUUGUUAAGGGUGACGACGGUUUACCAGUGAGCCAUCGUCAAUCCUAAAAAAAUCAUAAUUAGAGUGGGUUUUUACAAGUUGUCCCUAAGCCGUCGCUAAAUCCGUCCUUACAAGUCUGUUUUCUUGUAUCUAUAUACUAUAAUUGUUUAUAAAACACUAUCUAAUAAAUUGACUCAAUAUUCAUAUACUGUAGUAAGCUUUGAAAAGAAAAGACAAGAUUAUAAAUAUAUAUAAUAUUAUAGAGAAAAAAUCAGGAACGACCCUGAUCGCACGGUGCCCUAAAACGGUACCUGCAUUACCCAUUACCCAUUACCUCUGUCAGACUUCUCCAUCCACAUCCACAUUACCCAUUACCCUAGACACUCCCAUCUCUGAUGUCUCUACAAAAGCCUCAUCUUUACCUCCUCCUACCUCUGUCAAUCGCCAUUAAUUAAACCACGACGGAAGGGAAGCAUCUUGACAGAACCCAUCGCGAUUGUACGAAGAGGAGUUGAUCCGGGGCCCUGUGAUAUAUAUCUACCGUUCCG
rnacentral:lncRNA from 1 species